UUGCACCUAAGUUCUUUGGGAUGUCAGGAGUUCUCAAUGUUAGUUAACUUGUCUGAAAAACAUGCAAGCUACCUUUCUUGUGCCCUAGUUGACUUUUCAUAAGGGGGGUAGCCUAGUUAAAGAAGUUACAAGGAGAAUGAUUGGUUAAUGUUGGAUCAUAUGUUAGGAUCACAAAUGUUUGGUGAAUUUGGUUUUGUUCCAAGGUAUCAACCCACUUGGAGAAUAUAAUUGGAGGUUUAUGUCAUUACUGAUACUCACAGACUAAGAGUUGCGUAUGAAGAUCAGAUGAUACCAAAUUCUACAAAGCUUUAUGUACAAAGUGAGAGUGAAGCAACUUAACUGUGAUAAACUGUGAUAAAGGUACUAACAAUUGGAACUUAGUCAUGAAGCCAACCUUGGAUCAAGAGACUCGGUACAACAAAUUUUAAAGACUAUAUGAUGUGUAGCAUUUUAAAAGGUUAUGAGGACUAGUCCCUAAUGUCUCCCCAAUCAAUCUCAUCUUAAGGGGGUAGCCUAGAUAAGAAGGUUGCUAAAUGAAGGUUCCAUGCGUUCUAGUGCCUUAGUUGGAAGUAUCUUUUAUGCCUCUGGAUGAGAAGUCAAUAUCAUGUGUAGGUAUUACCCUUGAAAAGAAAAUAAAAAUGCUAAAAAAAUAGUAAGCCCCAUGUGAGUAUGCUCAUGGCAUAAAACCCAUAAGUACAUUCACUGUGGUGGCAUGAAAAUAAAAUAAAUAAGUUUUCAUCUUACAAUAAAAAUAUAAAAAUAAUAAGUCCAUGAUCCUGCUAAAUAAGUAAUAUUGAGGAGGCUCAACAUGAUAAAGGCUAGAUAUUUAUGCUAACACUUAACCAGUUCCACAAAGCUUUGUUGUCUAUUUGAGCUCCACAGAAUUCAAGGAUCAAAGAAGACUAGCAGACGGAGGACAUCCUAAUCGCUGUCGGGGUGCUGUCGACUUUCAAAUACACCUCCAUCACCUGCUAGCUACAUCAGAAGAAAUUACGUCAAAAUUCAGCUUGGGGGAGAGCACCCCCAUUUAUCUUGCUAAGUAUUUCUACCUAUCUUUAUACUUAUAUUAUGUUAGAAUAUUAAACUACGAAAAACCCAAAUAAAGAUUUUGUGCUUUUAUAUAUAUAUAUCUUUGCUUAGUUUUCUAAAUAAAUAAAUAAAUAAAAUUUGCUAUGAACCCUCAUGAUAAGCUCUCUCAUGGAAAUGAUGAAUAGUUGCUCUGCCAUGACUAGUUCUUAAAAUUGAAAUCUCUCUCAAGUUUAGACAUAACUGUUAUAAUUUAAAGCUUGCUCUAAACCUAAACUUGUGGGAAGAGUACUUGAUCUAAAGUCUAAGUCGUUAACGGAUAUGAUAUGGGAAGGUUGAGCUGCUUUUUAUCUGUUCCUAGAGAUGCUAGAAUUCUGGAGAAUUUUAUCUUUGAAAAAAUCUUUAAAAUAACACAUGAUGAGUUCCUGUAUGAUGAGAGUUUAAAAUCCUACCACAGCCAUAUAUACAUGCUUGCUAGACUUUGAGCCACAUAUUUACUUUUUACUGCUUAUGAGCAUUGAGUGUGGUCAAGCUGUGUAGACCCUUAGGAGCUUGUCAUGUGGUUAAAAUCAAGAUUCACUUGCAUGUUCACUCAUACAUGCUACUUCUACUCCGGAAGUACCAUCCACAUAUAUCCACUCAUUUCCAUCUCCAGUUUCACCCGAAAUUAUUCCACUCCUAAUCCGGGAGAGAAUAGCCAAAAACAUUUUCCUAUCCCUGUUAUUCCCUGUGAAAUAAAUGCUCCAGUUAUUUUGGUUACUACCACUUGCUACAUUAUUUCAGGAGAUGAGUGCUCUAAAAAAAGAAGAGAGAAAAAAAAAGAGAAAAAAAUAUAUAUACGAGGAAAUAAAAAGGGGCAAGUGCCCGGAACCUCGAAAGAAAAGAAAAAGUGAGACGAGAGGUAAAAAUGGAUAAGUGUCCGACAAUAGAAUUUGGGGUACAAGAUACCCACCUGAGAGGAAAGAAAAAGAAAAUAUAGAGCAUCUUAUUCUCCCCAAAAAGGUUCAAAGUGCAAGAAAGGUAUGUAUCCCCUCAAAAGAGCAAAAGUAGAAUUAGACUUUCACCAUUAUUAUCAUCAUCAUCACCAUACACCAUUCAUUCGCCACACAUGCACAUCUUGAUUUGACUUAUUGACUUGUUUCUCUGGAUCCAUGGUUUGACUAUGCAAUAAAUGUCUUGUAAGUAUGUAUUAGCUGUCUCCCACCUAUGAGCUCCAGAUAUCAGAACCUUAUUAGAGUAGGGUGAGAGAGAAGACAAUGUCACUAUGCUUCAUACCACAAAUACUACAUAUUUUGAGAGAAGGCAUAUACCAUCACUGCCUUGGUAAGGAUCCAGAAAUACCACAAAAGAGAGACCUGAGAGAAUCAUACAAGGAAUUUCUGAGUUUUAUUUGAAAAUCUGCAAAAACCCCAGAGCUAUAGCUGAUCAAGAAUAAGAGACAUGGCACUUGGCUAGACUGUUCUAUCUUUUAACCACUCAAGACAGAAGUGACGGUUACAAGUCCUAUGAUGUAGGUAAAGUAAGUAAGUUUUAAGUCUUAACAGUUUAUUCUAACUCAGAGAUGAGAUCUUGCUUAAAUGUGUGUGUACUUCUAAGAAAUGAAACCACUGCAGAAACUCUUGAGUUCAUCCUUGCUCAGGGACGAGCAAGAGGUAAGCUUGGGGGAGUUUGUUGACGGUCCUUAAGUAUCAAAUUUAAUUAUCAAAUAAACAAAGAAAAGGAUCCAAAUGAAAUCAACAUCUAGACUUAGGGUUUUAUCUAACAGAAUUCCAUGAGUUUUGGUGUUUGUCUAUUUCUGCGGGGGGUUAUCAGGAAAUAAGGAAGAAAGGCCCACAUGUCGGGAUUACAUAGAGAUAUCAACCCACCGCGCAAUUUUCUACCAUCUAGAAGACUCCAGAAUCCACGGGAAGGAAGCGGAGCCCGAAAGGGGCCAGGCCCAGGGCGCCCGCCCUGGUAGCCUGGGCGCCCGCCCCCUGUUGGAGCCAAAUCAGGACUCUUUCGCUCGGGAUAUUCCACCGACCUAUUGGAUCAAGAAAAACAUAGUACCACCUCGCCUAUCGACCCAAAAACGCAUAGAAGGGGAGGACUAUAUAAGCAAGGCCCCCUGGCCCCUGGAGGAGACAUGAAAUUAUCAUAGAGAUUGAGGGGUGCCCCCGAAGGAAAACCUCUUCUCUAAAUAAUAUUCCUUUUUAGGCUUAGCAACCAAUGUAAGGUAGAAAUAGAUCUUCUAGUUUCUACUAGAUUGAGAGAGAUAGAGUGGAGGUGUGGAUCGGAGGAAGGCCGGCCUGUCGGUGUCUACUCCGAGUUGUACCUGCGGGAUCAAGUCUCCUAACCCGAGGCUUGCUUCUAAGAUUCUUCAGUAAUUCGACUUCUAAUACUAGUAAGUUCUUGUUUUAUUGUUCUUUGGUUUAUGAGUUUACUUUAAUCCUCUUCUGGUUGAGUAUUAGAGUAAUCACUUGUUAGCGUAAACGUGGUGUUUAGGCUAGGGUACUCAUAGAUAUCCCCUGACUAGCUGGACCCUGGUAGUAGCGAGGAACGUGACAUUUCCGAGUUACCUUUGCAGAUCACAUCUCGUUAGCAGGACGGGUAGGUUUAUAGGUGCGGGUCGAACAUCCUUUGUGUUGUCUAGAUUCCGUGAGCCUCCCCAAUAGAACAGUAGAUCAUCCUUACCAAGGUUAGAACGAGACUACGGUUGCAGUCUUCUCUAUACAUCACUCACAUCGAGAGACAUUCUUUGUAGCCUAAAGGGAUAGUAGCAAUAGAUUUGGUUAGUCAGAUGCACCCUUUCUCCCAGUGGUAAAAAUAUAAAUACGAUAACUCUGGAUAACCUCCCGGGUGAAAUGCUCACCGAUAUCCGUGCGCUUGCGGAUCAUUUUCUAAUUGCGUUACCAAAUAUCAACAGGUAGCACCCUGACAGCGAUUAGGAUGUCCUCCGUCUGAUAGUCUUCUUUGAUCCUUGAAUUCUGUGGAGCUCAAAUAGACAACAAAGCUUUGUGGAACUGGUUAAGUGUUAGCAUAAAAUCUCUUAGCCGUUAUCAUGUUGAACUUCCUCUAAUAAAUAUUACUCUCUUUGGUAGGAUCAUAGAUUUAUUUUUAUAUAUUCAUUUUUAUAGGACAGGAAUAUAUUUAUUUUAUUUUUAUGCCACCACGGUGAAUGUACUUCUGGGUUUUAUGCCAUGAGCAUACUUUACAUGGGGCUUACUAUUUUUAACAUUUUUAUUUUCUUUUUAAGAUAAUAUGAACCUGAUUAACUAAACAAACUAUUUUAAAUAAUUGAAAGGAAAAGGAUAACUACCAAGUUUACCUCUUGGCAAGGCGUUCAGUGUUUUUAAGUCCUCUGAAUGGGACUCUUCGUUUCCUCAGUCGUCCUGGGAUUCACUGGAUGGCGUAGUCGGUGGUUCCGGCGGCGCCUCCUUUUCGGGUAUAACUAUCUUCUCUCUAUACACCUGAAUUGGUGCUACGGUCUCCUCAAGACAGUUCUGUUCAAGCUAUAUGUCUUCAGACCUUACUACUUCUCCUUCAUAGUCUACCCAUCCGUCCUUGAUGAUUUUGCCUUCUCUGGUUGCGGUUGCUUCGUCUCCUUCUUGUCCUGACCUGCUUAGAGUCUUCAACUAUAUAGUUAGAGUCAGUAAAACAGCGGCGUACCUUCUCAGAGGGAAAGUGCAUGUGGACUUCUCCAGUUCCAAUGUAGAUGAUUGCUUUAACGGUGCUGAGGAACGGUCUCCUAAGGAUGAUGGGUGGAUCGUACUCGUCUUAAACCUUUUGGAAUGUCUGAUCUGCCAUCUGGAGCUGAAUGUAUGUUGGGCAUGGUUCCGAAUAGGAGUUGUUAGGUGACUGGGUCGUCCUUUUUGGUUAGGAACGGUGACUUAAGUCAACGAUCUUGACCUCCUUGAACUGCAGUGACCAUCUUAGCUGACUCGGUCCACAUUUGCUUGUUUCGGUUCCUCCUGUUGAUCUUCUUCCUUGGUUCAUGUCAGGAUUGCUUUGAGAUUUGUGUAGUCUUGUUCUUGAAGGAAAAUGUCUCCUUCCUCCCCUUAAUGUAGAAACUGAUCUUGGCAGCACUAGCGUAGAUGACAGCUCCCGAGGUGUUCAGGAAUGGCCUCCCUAAGAUGAUGGGUGCCCUCUCAUCAGUACCAGUCUCUAUCACCAUGAAGUCUGCUGGAGCGUACAAGGUACCAACUCGGACGCAGAGGUUCUUCAAUAUUCCCUUAGGCAUAAUGUUGACACUAGAGCCAAAGUCGCAGAGUGCUUGUGGGAAGUCCACCAUGCUGAUGGAGAUCGGGAUGACGGAGCGUCCUGGACCGCCUCUCUUGACCGGCAGAAGGUCAGUAAUUACUUCCACAAUGGGGUUACUCUAGUAGUUACGUCCUCAAGCAUCUCAGGGCAGUGAUUGCCUGAGUGUCCAGUAUCUCCAGUGUGUUUGUGCUCGUAGAUCUAGGUUCUUCACUUGGUGGAGUCUAGGAGUUGUAAAACUCCUCCAUAUUUUGCUCGAAGUGUACCUGCUCAUAGAGACAAGGCAGAGAUCAAGUGCAUGGGCCCUGUUGGUGGAAAACACCAACAGAACCAAAAGUGUAUUUGUUCUCUCUAACCUUAAGCAUAGUGAGCAAGACAAAGUUAAUGGAUAAUAAGAUCAUGAGUGUAGCAUUUAAAACUUUUGUCAGAUCAGAUCGCUGAACCUUAUGGAAAGAUAAUCUAUCUAUAAAUUUAUAUAUAUAUAUCUUCCAAAGAUUGCGUGUGCAACAUUUUAGCUCAUAUGGUUAGGAGUGUGGGAUCACAAAGGUGGAAGGACUAAACAUAUUGAAUCGACUCGGUUGGUUAAUCUAGAGUUGUAAAUCAUACAUGUUUGUCUCUUUUAUCCAUAUGAACGCUAGAACCAAGGAGAAGCUUAUAGAAGUGAUAGUCAAGUACCUUAAGAUGUUACCUUACUUGAAGAGUGAUGGUACAAUAUCACCUUGUGGAAGCUUUCCUUUCUUAGCGGUUGUGCAUCGUGUUUGUGGCACCCUCCAUGGAUCAUCUCUUGUGAGCUAUGCCUUCCUUGUGUAAAUUGUUAAGCUUCAUGUGUCUCUCUCUUUGUCUCCAAUUUGAGUUUAUCUCAAGACUUCCCAGGUCGAUAUUGAAAGUUUUCCUGCAGGGGUUAGUCCAACUAAAUAUCCAAUAUCUACUAUAGCAUACUAUCGGCUCAAAGAUCAACCUAGACACCAUGUCUAAUUUGAUUUAGGAGGGCAUUUUAACCUAAGCAUCAUGCUUAAUUUAAACUCCCUUGGAAGUAAGAUCAUCAGCCCUAAACUAAGCACCAUGCUUAAUUAUGAGAUAAAUGAAACUACUCCAAACCUAGACAUAUACUAAAGCAAAUAAAGGUAGCAUGAGAGCAUUUAUAGAGAUCUACUCAAGUGGAGAUGAAGUAGUGUGAUUAGUAUUUAACAAAUUGAGCAUGUCUCAAAGGUAGGGACAACCAACAUAGCAACAUGGCAAAGGAUAUUUUCAUGUAAAGUACUCCGCCAAGCUUGAAUUUUGCAAAAUUCAAGUUUGGAUGAAUUUAAUUCAAUGUUGUAUGAUGAUUGGUUGGACAUACCUUGUGCUUGUCAUUCAUCCGAUCUUCUUGCUCCAAUCCUGGAAAGGUUAGUGACAAGAAUACCCGAAGGAAUAUUUUUACAAUUAUCCUUAUAUGCUCAAAACACAAGGUAAUGUUGCAAAUAAUUAAAAGCUCAUGUUAUGAUCUGAUCAGUGCUUAUUUUAGGACACUAAGCUUGUCCUUGGGAAACCAUCAAUUUAUGUCUGCGAAGUGGUUUCCCCUCCAACGCUGACCUAUAUCAAGAUCAACUCAACAAGAUCUGCAAUAUUUAAUAUAGACAUAUGCAUCGACAACCGCCCUUUUAAAGUUUUUAUAAAUAGAAAGGAUGAGGGGCUUGGAGAUCUCGAAUGUGGUGUUGUUGGAGAGACCAAUGGAUUGUGAAGAUGUUGCAUAUGAGCAUGGAGUAAAUGAAGUGGCUAUGAAAUAAAUUCCAUGCUCAUUAAUGCUUAGAGUGAAAUCCAUGUGGUGUGGUGAAAAUGAUAAAGUGAGUGUGGUAAAAAAGGAAAAGAAAAAGGAUACACGGACGACUUGGUUCGAAACUAGCACACCUACCGUUCCCCGGCAACGGCGCCAGAAAGCUUGUUGGGUAUUUUAAACGCAAACAGAAAAAUCCGCAAGCGCACGGAUACCGAUGUAGCUUUCACCCGGGAGUAUUCCAGAGUAUCGAUUUUCCACAGAGAACGUGAGUGUACUAAUUAAGAUCCAAGAUCGCCCAAGGAUAACUAUAUAAUUAUUUUUGGUGGGAAGAGAGGAAGUUUCCUGAGAGUUCUCUAGUUGAUCUAAGAAUCAAGAAUUACUUCAAGAUUAUCUAUAUCGGGACAUCAGAGCACUAACCACAGAAAGAGAUAAGGAGGGGGCUAGGAAGGUCUGACUACGGUCCUACAAACACCGAUCCGAACGAGGUGGAAUACGUCGACCGAUAGGGCUGUCACUACCCUAGGGCUACCACAACAAUCCGCAGGAUUGGGUGCAAUUCCAGGUAAUUGCAAGACUAAACACCAUGUCUAAUCUAUUAAUUACUACUCUAAUGUUUCAAAGAUUAGAGCACUUGAUGCAAGCAGAAAUCCAAUAAAUAACUUGAAUGUAAAUAAAAGUAAUUAGAGAACUCAGGAGUUAUGAGUUGAAGAACCUGGAGAACGAUGAAGAACGAACCAGUUGCUGCAAAAGUACAAUGUUGAGGAAGAUCCGACAGAUCCGGCUCCUCCUUCUCCGCUCUCCUCUUCUCUCUCCCUAUUUUCUAGAUUACAACUAGAACUAACUAGAACUAGAACUAGAGGAACUAGAACUAGAACUAGAUGAACUAGAACUAGAUCUAGAUGAACUAGAGGUAGAACUAGAAGAACUAGAGGGAUCCUCUCUACUUGGAUGAAGAAUUGAAACCCUAGCUUUGAUUCUGUAGAAGAGGUAUGAUCUCCAGGGGCCAGGGGGUCUGGUUUUAUAGUCCCUCCAAGUGAAUAUGGGUCGUUGGAUCAAACCGACAUUGAUUGAACGGUUAUCCUUGAUCCUUUAGGUCGGUGGAGCAAUAUCCCGAAAGAGAGUCCUGAUUGGACUCUAUGUGAGGGUGGGCGCCUAGGAGAGUAGGGCGGGCGCCCUAUCCCUGAGUCCUCUUGGCUUCCCGUUCGUUCCCGUGGCUUUUGGAGUCUUCUAGAUGGUAGAAAAUUGCGUAGCACGUUAAUAUCUCUAUGUAAACCCGACGUGUGGGCCUUUCCUCCAUAUUUCCUGAUAACCCCCUGCAGAAAUAGACAAACACCAAAACUCGUGGAAUUCUGUCAGAUAAAAUGCUAAGUCUGGGUGUUGGUUGCAUAUAGAUCCUUUUCCAUGAUUAGUUGACGGUUAAAUUUGAGCAUUAAGGACCGUCAACAGUUCAUCAUCCUCCAAAGUUGUUUGUGUUCCCUUCGUGGGAGAUUUUUUGACAACUAAAUCAUUGGAAGGAUUCGAUUGAAUUUCAGUUUCGGUUGCAUGUAUCUCCUCUUGUUGGUCAGGGCUUGGCUUGACUCCUUUUUCCUCUUUAGGAAACUCAUCAUAAAUGCCAGUGUAGGGAGUGUUUUCAAGGAUUUUCUCUAGGAUAGCUUCCCCCUCACUAAAGGACAUGUGUAUGAAUGAGCCUCUAGACAAUGUGUCAAGGUGGAGAGCAGCUUCUUUGCUAAGACCAACUUAGAAAGUUAUGGUCAGGCAAAGAGAGGUUAGGGCCGGUGUUCUUAAGACUUGUGAAUCUGGCCCAGGCUGCUCCUAGAGUCUCCUUCUCCUUCUGUUCAAAGUUAAUAAUUUCUUUUCAAAGGGCAAUGACUAGGUUAGUGGGAAGAAAGCGAGACCAAAUUUGAAUCUAAGUUCCUCCCAAUUUCCAUUUACCCCUCCUACGGUAUGAGUGUACCAUUGCUUUGCUCUCCCUAUAAGGAAGAAUGGAAACAACUUCCAUUUAAGGGUCUCUUGUGUGAUGCUAGCAAUGGUGAGACAAGAACACAAGUUCUCAAAUUCCCUAAGGUGGGUGUAAGAAUUUUCAUCUUUUAGCCUAACAAAGGAUUGCGCCUGCACCAUAGCUAUAAGGCCAGGUUUGAGUUCAAAGCUAGAAGUUGUGAUUGGCUUUGAUGAUUGUGGUGGCUCUAAGAACUCACCCUUUGGUGCAAAAAAUUUAUGAAUAGGAGUGGAAUCCACAUGGUUGGGGGUGGUUGAUGUUUGUGGUGAGGUGACAAUGGUGGUAAAAGAAAAAGGAUACACAGACAAACUUGAUCCGAUAGAUCUGGCUCCUCCUUAGCUCUCUCCUCCUCUCUCCCUAUUUUCUAGAUACAACUAGACAAGUAGAACUAGAACUAGAUGAACUAGAGGACCUCUACCUCUCUACUAGAAGAAACCCUAAUUUCUGUUGUAGAUGUAGCUAAUGAAGGAGAUGCCUCUGUUGGGCAUUCUUAACGUCACUACCAAAAGUAGACUUAGUUUUCUAAUUCCGAUAACGACGCCAAAAAUGCCAAACCUAUCCCUCAUGCCACUUAAGCCAAGUUGUCAUCCCCAGCAUGACAUGAGAGACGCGGUAUUGAAAUAUGCAAUUGCUCUUCUAAAUAAAUAAUAAAUGGGAUCUGCAAGCGCACAGAUUAAUACCGAUGUAGCAUUUUAACCGGGAAGUAUUCCAGGUAUUGUUAUUUAUAUUUUUACCACUGGGAAGGGAUUAGUAAUCAUCAAUGUUGAUUAUAGAAUGGAAUAUAGGAUUGAGUAUCUAUGAUUGCAUGUAUAAUUGAGAACAAUUAUCUAUCUCUUUCAUACAGGGAUAAGUGUCACAUAAAAGAUAUAUAAAGUAUGAAUGGUGACAAAGAUAAUUAAUCUGAUCAGCAUAACUUAGCCACAUAUAAAUAUGAUAAGCACCUCAAUUAGAUAUUCUAGCAAGUCAUUAGCAUGGAAUUAGGACAAACUACAAGAAUAUUUCCUGAGUUAUUCUUAACUAUACAGUCUAGCAUAUCAUAGUUAGUGCAAUUAUACUUAGCAAUCAUUGUGAGACAGGACUACGCCCAUGCAUAGUGACAUUAUCAAGGAAUAUGAGAAACAUCACAAUCACUCCCCUGUAAUAAUGUUGCUCUGUCAGCCCAAUACACGAGAGGCGGACUAUAUAAGAAUCAAUGGAGUUGUCACUACUAUGAACUACCCCGCGAUCUGGCAUAUAGGGUACAAUCGCAGAUAAAUACGGUAUAAGCACCACGCCUACACAAUAUCUAUCAUUUACCCAUGGAUGUGAUGGAUAAACGCUAUACGAUCCUAAACAUGUAUAUAAUUCCAAUCUAACUAAGCCAAGUAUAUAACUAUGAUAAACUAAGAACAAUAUAAUUGCGAAUAUAAACAAGUAGAGCAAAGUCAUAAUCAAUAUAUUGAAGUAGAACAAAUUCAUAUUCAUAAUAUCGAAGAACAAAGAUGAACAAUUGAAGAACAAUAGAGAAUUACCAAGAAUCCUCUUGACAUAUCCAGAAACCAAUCGAAGAUUGACUCCUUCUAGUUCUAAUCCUAUGUAGCUAUGCUAAUCUAGAGAUCUAAUUGAUGUGGUGGCUCUGGAGCUUGAUCAGAGGCUUCUUCUCCCUGAUGAAUAAUGAAUUAGGGUUGAGAGGUGCUCUCCUCCAGGGGCCAGGGGGUCUGGUUAUAUAGUCCUUCCAAGUGAAUGUGGGCCGUCGGAUCAAACCGACAUUAAUUGAACGGUUAUCCUUGAUCCUUUAGGUCGGUGGGGCAUAAUCCCCGAAACGAGUCCUGAUUGGACUCUAGGUCAGGGUGGGCGCACUAGGGGGGAGGGCGGGCGCCCUGCCUCAGAGCCCGUCCGGUCUCCCGUUCGUUCCCGUGGCUUCUGGACUCUUCUAGAUGUAGGAUAAUUGCGCGACACUUUAAUAUCUCUAUGUAAACCCGACGUGUGGGCCUUUCUUCCGUAUUUCCUGAUAACCCCCUGCAGAAAUAGACAAAUACCAAAACUCAUGGAAUUCUAUCAGAUAAAACCCUAAGUCUAGAUGUUGAUUUCAUUUGGAUCCUUUUCUUUGUUUAUUUGAUAAUUAAAUUUGAUACUUAAGGACCGUCAACAGCCUCUAGGGGGGUCAGGAUCAUAUUUAUAGCCCCCUAGGAAGCACCACAAUCCUUGGAUCAAAUCAACUUGAACGUACGCUCAAGAUUACUCCUCAAAGGCGGUGGAUCGGGAAUCCACGAGGUUGAAGCUGAUUGACUAUGGCAGCCGGGCGGCCACCCAAGGGGGUGGGGCAGGCACCCAUCCCCUAUGGCCAUUUACCAUCCCAUUCAUUCUGGUGUCUUCUUGUUGGUAUAAAUUAACAGCACUCCAUUAAAUAUGUUUUAAGUAGGAUUAUCCACAAGCACACAGAUAUCAUACCAGUGUCACAUUUUACCUGGAGGUUUUAAAUAUAGUAUCCAUUGGGAACAGUUGUGAUGAUGAAAAAGUAUAUAGACUUAACCCUACAAUUAGGCUAGAUCAUAUCAAGAAAAAGGAAAUAGAUAAUGCACUCUGGUUCUGACUCCGGUAAACUUUGUAUAAUAUCGUCUUAUCAGACAAGUAACCCAAAUAGAAGAAGAAACAGAAUAAUCUCCAACCAAGAACCUAUAAGCUUAUUAGUCCUAUCAGUGGGAUGUGGACUACAGAGGAUUCAACAUAGCUAUAAAGUCACUUGCGUGAGCUACCACAGUCCGGCUAAUCAUGGGACAUUCACAAGUAAACCUAGCCUAGGUACCACGCCUACACUACGAAAUACUACUUCAACCAAGUAAUGACCAAGAUCAAAGCACUCAAUAUGAGAUGUGAACCAAAGAAUGAAUAAGAACAAGUUGCUUACUUAAAUCAGAAUGGUAAGUACAAAAGUACCUCAGAACGCAGCUCCACGUGAGGGAACUAGAUCCAGACGAAUAUAGCCACGAAGAAGCACCGACAGGCCAGAAUUCCUCUAGAAUCUCUACUCCUCUACUCAAUCUCUAUAAUGUCUAAACAAGACUAGAUCUAGAAGAACUAGUCUCUCCUAAUUGCUACAUCUAGCUGAACUAGAACUAGAUCAACUAGAGGGACCAUAACCCAAAUUAUGUAGAGAAUAUGAAGCACCGAGGUGUAGAAUGCCUCUUGUGGGGAGCCUUGGGCAUCAUUAUAUAGGCCGAGGUGGAGUAGGGGGCAAGGAACCACCACGUCAUCGAUCCGCGUCUUCAUCUUGUGUGCACAGUGAGAUCAAACCGACAUAAAAUCACUGUAGGGAUACUUUGGUUGGCUUCCAAGGAAGCAUGGGAGGAAGACUCUAGAAGGCGGUGGCCAUUGGACGACUUAGGGCACCGACUGGCCCCACCUUUUCUCCUCUGUGGGUCUCGUUCCUUCGGAUGUCUUCUAUGCCCUUCCUGAGCCUGAUGAUGAUGUUUUCCGUCGUGGAUAAGUUUCGUGGUAAUUAUGCACUAGAAUCCCUCUUUUUAGCUUUUCUAAAAUUCACCCUAAAAAAUACAGAAUAUGCAAAACUCAUGGAAAUUAUCAGAUAAAACCCUAGAUUAGUGUGUUUUCAUGUGUUCCCUUGUGUCUAAAGUUCUAAUAAAAGUUGAUGUUAUCGACCGUCACAAUACCCCCAAGCUUACCUUUUUGCCAGUCCCUUGGCAAACAACCCAAGCCUAAUUAUUAAUAAACUUGGAUCAGAAGUUGCUACAAUACUUUUAUUUCUUUUAAGCACACUUGUUUUUAAAUAUAAAUUUUCCUCUGGUCUACCUUUCAAACUUACCCAUUUUACCUUUAACCAUGGAGCUUUACAGCUUUUGCAUAAGUCUUGAGUAAUCGAAAGAUAGAACAAUCAAGUCAAGCACUAUGUCUCAAAUUCUUCACAGUACCAAAAUUCUAGAGUUUUGCAAGUGUUCGAAAUAAAGCUCAGAGCAUGAUUGUAUAAACUCCUCAAGUCUCUUAUUAUGUAGUAUUUAUGGAUCUUGCUGAGGAAUUAAUGAGGUUAUGCCUUCCUAAAACUAAGGAUAUAUAUAUAGUGGAGCUUAUAGGAGUGGCAAUAACAAGGAUGAGCAUACUUGCAAUUCAUAUAUUGUAAAGUCAAAUAAUGGAUCCAUAGAGAAUCGAGGCAUACAAUCAAAUCAAGAUGUGUAUGUGUAUGGAAUAUGGUGGAUUGGUGUAUAUAUAGUAUUUAGUGGCUAAUCCUAAUUCUACUUUUGCUUUUUGAAAAUUACUCCCUCCUUAGAACUUUUCACAGGAAAACAUAGGCUAUCUUUAUUCUCUCUUUCUCUCUUUUUUUGAUUACUGUGCGAGGCAGGCAUUGAUGUACCCAGUGUUUUAAUUGCUGGGACACUUGUCCAUCUUUUACUCCCCUUUUUUCAAAUACUUUUGCAUAGCCACAUCCAUCAUUUGAAUAUAAAUAAUUAGAGAGAUAAUGAUAAGAACUUAGAGCAAUUAAGUGGGGGCUGUCCUAUAGGGUAUAUUUUUUUUUGGUGUUUACUCCUAGUGUAGGAGAAAACAUUUUUUUAAGGUGGAUCUGGAUGAAAGUGGAAAUGACUGUGCUUAAAUCCCAGAGUAGGAGUAAUGCAUAUGUGGGUGGAGUGCGUAAGUGAUCUUGAUUUUAAAAGCAUGACAAGACUCUCAUAAGGUAUACAACAAAGGUUGACUAAACUCAUUGUAAAGAAAGCAGCAUGAAUGCACAAAGGUUUUCCUAAAUCUAAAUGUAUCAUAUAUGGCUUUGGUGGGAAUUUAAACUUUAUCGUAUAAGAGCACAUCAUGUAAGAUUUUGGUUUUUUUUGUUUUAAAAUAUAUCUCCAGAACUUAGUAAUGCUAGGAAUAAGAUAAAUAGCAGCUUAGACCUUCAAGUAUAAUAUCAAUUACCUUGACUCAACUUAAACAUAUGCCUCGACAAAUUUUAGGUUUAGAGUAAACUCUUAUAUUAAACUGGUCAUGUCUAAAACUCAAGAGAAUUCAUGGUUGAAAACUAGGAACUUGAAAGGAAUUACUGUAGAGCAACUAUUCAUCAUCUCCAAAACAAAAUUUUAAUAUUCUCUAAUUUCUAUUUGACUCUAAACUAGACUAACUGUAGACACACUCUAUGAUCACACCAUAAUAUAUAGAUUCAUUUUUGUUGGACUCAGAAGACUCUAAAGAUAUGGACCUUCAUGUGCCCAUAUAUUUUUGGUAUUUUUAUAUUUUCUUAUGAUACUAUUGUGAACUUUCAUGUGCCCACAUAUUUUUGGUAUUGUUGGUGCAAAAGCUGAUCUGCAAACACAAAGGGCUAAUACUCGAUGCAAACGUUAAGGCGUGCCAGCCGAUUUGACCCUACAAUCGACAAAGGUGGUAACUCGAACACUUUGGUCCCGACAACAGCGAUGCCCCCGGAUGUCACGGCCAAGAGGUGUUCACGCGGAACUUGAGAACACGCCGAGUUUGACUCGACGAAUUUCUAGUAAAAAGAAAAUAUGACAAAGUCACCGAAAAAGUAGAUGCUGGAAUAUGUGUAAAAACUUGUGUUUGAUUGAUUGAUAGAUGUUUCAUUACAUUGCCACGGGGUCUAUAUUUAUACCCUGCUCAAAAGAACUACAACUAGACAUGACUAGAACUGAAAUUCCAAAUUAAACGGAAUCCGUAUACAAAACGAGUCCUAAUAACUAAGGAAAACAUUAAAUUAUUCUCCGUAACCGAUCGGUACACUGCCACGAGUCAAUCGGCAACCCCGCGCUUUUCUCCAGAGUCAUCGGCAAACCGCCUGUUAUAGCCAUUGACAAACACCAACAUUGGUCAUCGGUACAAACAUAUCACCACUUCUGGACUUGGUCAUAUUCGGUUGUUUCUCCAUCGGCACCAACCUUCAUCGGCAACUCCCCUAUAGACUAGCUACCAUUACCCUAUCUACCGAUCUACACUUCAUUAACCCCAGGUGCAUAUCCAAAGAUACGUGUCCAAAAACAGUGUCAAGGCAUGUCCCCAAUUUCGGAGUAUAAAAUCAUCAAUGCUCUAAAAUUCUCCUCAGUAAUGAUGCCUUUCCGCAAUUACUCCCUUUGAUUGAUAAUUAAUUACCAAAUCUAAACAACCUCAGCCUGAUUCUCCUGCAGAUUCCACAAAUUUCUCAACUUCUCGAACCGAAUAUCCCCAGAAUGUACUCAUCGGCAAUAUUACUGUUAGGGAGGACUGCCGAUGGACCGACCAAACAAUCUUGCACAGUAAGAUAUCUUCACCGCUCGCUGUCAAAUCACUUGCACCAUCCCUUGAUUAUCGUACAAACAGUUACCAUAUCCACCUGAACACCCUCGGAUUCCACCUGACCUUGGUGGUUCAUCAAUAUGUGGCUUAGCGUCCAUAUGCACAAGCGCCUUGGAUUUGACCUUUUCGCUCAGUGCUUUCCAAGAGAUAUAACCGAGGAUCAUGAACUGGAUGAGGAAGAAUCAGCAACUCGCCCCCCCCCCCCCUUGAACUGUGGUGAAGCUGCCAUAGUUUUACAUGGCACCGGUGGUAAUGAAGACCAGGUCAGCCGAUUCUUUCAGACUCUUUAUGAGGGUCUGGCUAAAGACCAACGGGCAUGGAUGCCUUAUGAGGAUCCAGAAACUAGAUUCCCGCUCACUUUCCACCCCUUUGAUGACGCUCUCAAUAAAUACCAUGAUCUCUGUUGACACCGUUUUUGGACACAUACCCAGGAUCGGUAGAGCAUAGAUCGGCAAGAUAGGGCAACAGUAAAUGGUCUGCAGGAGAAUUGCCGAUGAAGGGACAGCUGAAUGUGACUAAGUCCAUGAGUGGUGACGCGUUCAUGCCGAUGGUCAGCGUUAGCCUUUGUCGAUUGCUACGAUAAGGAGUCUGUCGAUGACUCGGAAGGAGAACAUGAAGGUUGACGAUUGGUCCAUAGUGGUGUCCCAGUUUGUCACGGGAGGAUAGUUUUGUGUUUUCCUUAGUUAUUUAAAUCAUUUUGUAUACGGAUUCUAUUUAAUUUGGAAUUCGAGUCCUAGUCAUGUCUGAUUGUAGCUCUUUGAGCAGAGUAUAAAUGUAGACCCUAGGGCCUUGUAAUGGAGAAUCUAUCAAUCAAUCAAACACAAGUUUUUACUCACAUUCCAACAUCUACUUUUUCGAUGACUUCGUCAUAUUUUCUUUUUCAUUAUGAGUUCUUAGGAGUUCGUCGACUUAAGCUCGGCGUAUUCUCGAGUUCCGCGUGAAUACAUCUUGGCCGUGGCAUCCGGGCGCAUCGCUGUUGUCGGGACCAAAGUAUUCGAGUUAUCACCUUUGCCAAUAGUAGGGUCAAAUCUGCUGGCACGCCUUAACGUUUGAAUCGGGUAUUAGCCCUUUGUGUUUGCAGAUCCACUUUUGCAUCAACACAUCUUUUGGCAUGCCCAGUGGGACAAGAUUCAAGAUCAAGAUCGACAUGGCAACUAGUGAUUUUGACUUGGAGAAUGUCAUCCCCGUGAAGGAAGCUAAUCUCAAAGAUGAGUAGAAGCAAGCUAUUGCAAAGGCUAUGGAGGAUUACAAGCAACAAUGUUUGAAGUCCUUCAACAUAAACAGGAGUGGCGAGGUGAUCCAGAAGGAAGCACUGCCGAUGCCUCGGCAGGUUACUUUUGAAGCCAAUCCUGGUAAACUUCAAGACAUGGUUGAUAGUGCUAUUAACCGUGCCUUGAUCAAUCAAGCUGGUGUGCUGUCCAAUAUGGUUUUCAAUGCCGUGGCUAGAACUUUCAAAGAAGGACAAUUGCCACCAAAUUAUGUUGGUCCUUCUCAUCAUCAGCCAGUGUCACCAGUGGUUACAGCUCCAUCGGCUGCUACAGCCGCUGCGGGUACAGAAACUACCGUCCCUCCAAGCACGUUAGGAGUCACUAACGCACAAUCUACACCGAUGACAACCAAUCCCUCAACGUCAGAUGAACAGAUCAAGCUUACUACGGAUCUACUGGCAUCGGCAAUGUCGGGAUCUAUCCCUCCUAACUGGUGGGGUUUUGGUAUGCCCCCAGAGUUCAUGUUGAAGACACCUAGUACAUCUCAGACGACUGAUAUGAGAGGCAAGGCUCCUAUGGCAUCGGCACCUCCAAAUAUGGCGAUGAAUUAGAGUCCCCAGUAUACUACAACUACUACUGCCAGACCUUACACUGGGAAUUCUCAAGCUCCAACGUUCCAGAUGCCUAAUGCAUCGGCAGAUUCAAUGCCGACGCAACACAGGUUUAUGACUCAGCCAGGGUAUGUCAAUUCAAUGAUGAUGCCCAAUUACCAGUCAUCGGCAGGACCUAUGCCGAUGAAUGCUAAUAGAGGAUGGCCUGAGCAGCAAGUCUUUCCACAAAUGCCCCAACAGAAUCAUCAGGCUACAGGGUUUCAACAAGGCCAGAUCCAACCUGGGUUCCAUAAUCAAGGGAUGGUCAACCAGCCAAUGAAUCUUGGACAACAGAUUGGUGGUCAGCAAAUUGGUGGUCAAAUAAUCAACCCAAUGUUCCAUGCAGAUCGUGCACCGCAUCGACAUGUGGAGGUGUAUCAACAGGUGCCAGAUCUGCAACCACCUCAUUGGCAAGAUGCCGAUGCUUAUUGGGCUGAUAAGAUUGCCGAAGUAAUGAUAGACUAAUUUGGGAUAAAACCCAAAGUCAACACUUACUCUUAUCGGACACCGUAUCCUCCUGCAUACGAUUUGAUUCCACUUCCAAAUCGGUACAAGGUACCAGAUUUCACUAAAUUUUCUGGACAGGAUGAUACAUCAACCAUGGAGCAUGUCAAUAGGUUUAUCAUCCAAUGUGGGGAAGCUGCUAACAGGGAUUAAUUGAGGGUUCGAAUGUUUUCAUCAUCUUUAUCUGGAUCGGCUUUCACUUGGUUUAUAUCAUUGCCUCCUAAUUCAGUGAUUACUUGGGCUGAUCUAGAAAAGCAGUUCCACAAGUACUUCUUUUCUGGAGUCCAUGAGAAAAAGAUUACCGAUUUGGUCAGAUUGAAACAGCGUAAUGAUGAAUCGAUUGAAAGUUUUGUGCGGAGGUUGCGGGAAGUCCAGAAUAAAUGCUAUAGUCUGGUUUUAGAUGAUCGGCAGCUUGCCGAUUUGGCUUUCCAGGGUUUGUUGCCACAUAUCGGGGAUAAAUAUGCUUCUCUUGAAUUUGAGAGCCUGAGUCACUUGGUCUAGAGGAUUUCCGACCAGGAUAUUAAGCCCUUUGAACCUAAGAGGGCUUGGAACAAAAAGGUGUCAUUUGUUGAUGAGACAGCAAGCUCCGAUUCUAAUGAGGAACCAAUCAUUGACUUGGCAGAAUGGGUAAAGAAUAAGAAGCCGAUUGCCCUUUCAGGCAUAAGGAGCUAGAGAAGUUUGCAUUUGAUAUUACCAAGGCCGAUAGGAUAUUUGACUUUCUACUUCAGGAGGGUCAGAUCAAGUUGUCGCCCAAUCAUGUGAUUCCAUCGGCUGAAGAGUGGGUAAAGAACAAGAAGCCGAUGUCUUGUCCUUUUGGGCAGAAGGAACCAGAGAAGUUUGCUUUUGACACCGCUAAGGCCGAUAAGAUAUUUGAUUUCCUACUUCAGGAAGGUCAGAUCAAGCUGUCUCCUAAUCAUGUGAUCCCAUCGGUAGAGGAGUUGAAGAGGAUGAAAUAUUGCAAGUGGCACAAUGCAACUUCUCACGGUACCAAUGAUUGCAAAGUUUUCAGGCAACAGUUGCAAUCGGCUAUAGAAUCUGGGAGAAUCAAGUUUGACAAUUUCAAAACUCAAAAGCCAAUGAAGAUUGAUCAACAUCCUUUUCCAUCAAAUAUGCUGGAUGCGAAGGGGAAAGCCAAGGUCUUGACGUCAGAGGCAGCCGAGAGAAGUGCAUCGGUGGAUCCUCAGCAUCAGAUCACUACUGCCGAUGCGAAAGGGAAAGGGUUGAUCCAAGAGGGAACUAACUCAGGAAGGCCUCCCCAAUCUGGUAUUGUAAUAACUCAUAGAAGGCCUCGGGAGACUUGGCAGCAACGUGAGGAUCGGUAUCGGCGCCAGCAAGAAGACUAUCAUCGGGAAGAAGAAAGAUGCCGACAGGAGUGGAAUCGGCACAAGGAUCACUGGAACUGCCCAUUCUUUAUCCAUUGCUGGGAGCAGAACAUCAAGUUGCCUACUGUUAGAGAUUGCCCUGGGUGCAAUGGUUAUGAUCGGUAUGACAGAUCUGACCGGCGCUAUCACAAUGAUGAUCGGCGAUUUAAUGGGCCGAUUAGGGGGAGAGCGUCUGUUCAUGAUCUGCUUGGGGGGAGACUCAGUGUGCACGAUAGGCUUGGUGAUCGUGUUGAAUAUUUUCCCAGGAAUCGGGAAGAGCUUGAGGAGAUGGCUAAUGCACGGGUUCCUGAUGAGUUCAUAUUUUGCAGGGACGCUAACACUUAUCGGGUGGAGUCAAGGGAACAUCGUCGUCCAUCGGCAAGGCAGUCACCACUUCCCCCAUGGUGUCCAGAGGGGUUGACUAAAACACAGAAAAGAAGACUGCAGCGCGAAAGACGAGAAGAGCUAAGCAAGGGCGAGAACUCUGGCCAAUCUGGGGAUCAGCAACAAUCAGAUCCUAAGGGGAAAGGGCCAUCAGCAGAUGUCAACAUGGUAUUUAUGUUGCCGAUGGAAUUCCUUGCGCCGUCCAGCGAUGAUGAGGAGUUGGAGUUUUCCGAUCCAAUGACGGCUAUCUUUGAAAAGCCUGCCGACAAUGAAAGGCAACAUCUUAAAGCUCUGUUUGUCAAAGGAAGGGUUGAUGGUCAGCCAAUGACCAAAAUAUUAAUUGAUGGUGGAGCUGCAAUCAACAUCAUGUCGUAUGCAGUCUAUUGGAAGCUUGGAAAAGGGGAUCAAGAUUUGACCAAGACCGAUAUGAUGCUGAAAGACUUUGAAGGAAAUGUGUCUCCGGUUAAGGGGCCAAUUUGUGUCGAGUUGACCAUCGGCAGCAAAACCUUGCCGACAACUUUCUUCAUGAUCAGUGGGAAAUGUGCCUAUAAUCUGUUGUUAGGGAGAGAUUGGAUUCAUGCCAAUUGUUGCAUCCCGUCUACAAUGCACCAAUGGUUGGUUCAGUGGGUAGGUGACAAGAGUGAGAUUGUCCCGGGAGAUUCUUCUUAUGUCAUUGCAUCGGCAGAAGCAGAUACCUAUGAGAGAACUAGGUGUAUCUCGGGAGAAGUUUGGGAGGAGUUCCUCAAAGUUGCCGAUUAUGAAAUUCCACCGAUCCAAGCAGUCGGUUCUGAUGAAGGUUUUUAAUGGAUAGGUUCGCCGAUGAUGGAAAAUUGGGCCAGGGAUUCACAUCGGCCGAUGAUUUGGUAGAAGUAGAUAUCGGUAGUGGUGAUAAGCCUAGACAUACUUUUAUUAGCGCUAAGUUAAAUUCUGAGUGUAAGCAACAGUUAACUGAUUUGUUAAAUGAAUAUAAAGAUUGCUUUGCUUGGGAUUAUACUGAGAUGCCUGGUUUGGACCAAUCAAUUGUUGAACAUCGGUUGCCUAUCAAGUCUGGAUUUUGGCCACAUCAACAGCCAGCUCGCCGAUGUAAUCCUAAUAUUCUUCCUGAUAUCAAGGCCGAAAUAACUAAACUUAUUGAAGCAAAAUUUAUUCGGCAGUGUCGGUAUGCCGAAUGGAUUUCCAAUGUUGUUCCAGUCUACAAGAAAAAUGGAAAGCUCUGGGUUUGUAUUGAUUUCAGGAAUCUCAAUAAAGCUACACCAAUGGAUGGAUACCCGAUGCCGGUUGCCGAUCUGCUAGUUGACGCUGCGGCUGGGCAUCGGAUCAUCAGCUUUAUGGAUGGCAAUGCAGGGUACAAUCAGAUAUUUAUGGCUGAAGAAGAUAUUCCAAAGACUGCAUUUAGAUGUCCUGGUCAUGUUGGGCUGUUUGAAUGGAUAGUCAUGACCUUUGGCUUGAAAAAUGCUGGUGCUACUUAUCAGAGAGCUAUGAAUUUUAUCUUUCAUGAGUUCAUCGGCAAGCUGGUAGAAAUUUAUAUUGAUGAUGUGGUGGUUAAGUCUGGGGAUUUCAUAAAACAUCUUGCUGAUUUGCGAAAAGUGUUGGAAUGCACAAGGAAGCAGUUUCUUGGUUUCAUGGUGCAUCAAAGGGGGAUUGAAAUUAGUAGGACAUCCAUUGAUGCUAUCAACAAAAUAGUUGCCCCUACCAACAAAACUGAGCUCCAGUCCUUGAUCGGCAAGGUAAAUUUUAUCAGGAGAUUUAUAUCUAACUUGUCUGGUAAAAUUCGUGCUUUCAGUCCGUUACUCAAAUUGAAGCCGAUCAAGAAUUCGUAUGGGGGAAAGAGCAACAGUUGGCUCUAGAUGAAAUCAGGAAUUAUUUGGUAAAUCCUCCAGUUCUGAUUCCACCUCAACAAGGAAAGCCCUUCAGGUUAUAUUUAUCUACCGAUGGGAUGGUCAUCUGUUCGGCUCUAAUUCAAGAAUUUGAAGGGAAGGAACGUGUGAUUUAUUAUCUAAGCAGGAGAUUGAUUGAUGCUGAGACCAGGUAUUCGGCCCUUGAAAAGUUGUGUUUAUGUCUAUAUUUCUCAUGUACUAAAUUGAGGCACUAUUUACUAUCGGCCGAAUGCACUGUUAUAUGCAAAGAUGACGUGGUCCGGUAUAAGCUAUCUAUGCCGAUCAUGAGUGGCAGAAUCAGUAAAUGGAUUUUGGCACUGUUGGAAUUCGAUCUGUGUUACGAAUCAGCUAAAGCGGUUAAAGGGCAGAUUAUGGCCGAUCUUAUGACUCAACAUUGCGACGCAGUGGAGACUUUGGAUAUUGUACCUUGGACUCUCUUCUUUGAUGGAUCCACCUAUGACCGGGGGGCAGGGAUGGGCAUAGUGUUAAUUUCCCCUCGGGGAAGAAAGUAUGAGUUUUCCUUGCCGAUUGUUACCACGUCAACGAAUAAUCAAGCUGAGUAUCGAGCUUUGAUAAAGGGGUUGGAAUUGCUAAGAGAAGUUUGUGCUGAUGCAUGUUGAAAUCUUCAGGGAUUCUAUGUUGGUUAUAAAUCAAUUGGCUGGAAGCUAUGAAUGCCGAAGCGAAGUCCUGAUAACUUAUCACGAAAGGAGUAUGCAAUUAUUAAAGGAAUUCAAAGAUUUCCAGUUAGAGCAUGUUCCUCGAUUGCAUAAUGAAGAGGCCAAUCAGUUGGCUCAACAUGCCUCGGGAUAUCAGCCCAUGUUAAACGCAAUAUCGGCAAUCGGUGCCGAUGACUGGAGAAAAGAAAUCAUUGAUUAUUUAAAGGAUCCGUCCAAGAAAGUUGAGAGACGUGUUCGGUUCCAAGCCACCAAGUAUGUGCUCCUCGAAGAUGAAUUAUAUUAUCGAACAAUUGAUGGAAUUCUUCUCAAAUGCUUAGGUGAUGAUGAGGAUAGAAGUUUAAUGGGGGAAAUCCAUGAGGGAGUGUGUGGAGCACAUCAGUCGGCAUUUAAGAUGAAGUGGAUGAUCAGAAGAAAUGGGUAUUAUUGGCCGACUAUACUUGAAGAUUGUUUUAAGUAUUUCAAGGGGUGUCAAGGAUGUCAGAAAUUUGGCAAUGUUCAAAGGGCGCGCGCGUCGGCCAUGAAUCCUAUCAUCAAACCUUGGUCGUUCCGAGGAUGGACUAUUGACUUGAUUGGCUAGAUUUAUCCACCAUCCAGCAAAGGACAUAAGUUUAUCUUGGUUGCCACCGAUUAUUUCACAAAAUGUGUUAAAGCUAUUCCUUUGAAGAAAGUUACAUCGGCCAAUAUGAUUGAUUUUGUGAAGGAGCAUAUUAUUUACCGAUUUGGAAUUCCUCAAACAAUUACUACCGAUCAGGGUACUAUGUUUACAUCAGGGGAGUUUGAUGAGUUCGCAAUCGGUUUGGGAAUUAAAGUAUUAAAUUCUUCUCCUUAUUAUGCUCAAGCUAAUGGGCAGGCCGAGGCAUCUAACAAAGGAAUUGUUAAGCUUAUUAAACGGAAGAUUGAAGAAAAUCCUAGGAGGUGGCAUACAUUGUUGAAUGAAGCUUUAUGGUCAUAUCGGAUGGCUUGUCAUGGGUCGACCAAAGUUUCACCUUAUCAGUUAGUGUAUGGACAUGAUGUAGUGUUACCUUGAGAAAUUAAGACUGGGUCUAGGCGACUAUCUUUUCAAGAUCAAUUGACUGCCGAUGAUUAUACUACUUUGAUGACAGACGAGUUGGAUGAUCUAGCAGGGCAUCGGCUAAGGGCUUUGAUGAGUAUAGAAGAUAAUAAGAAAAGAGUUACCAGAUGGUAUGAUAAGAAGGUAAAGGCUAAGGAGUUUGCCGAUGGAGAGUUAGUGUGGAAACUAAUCUUACCGAUCGGGACUAAAAGUUCAAACUUUGGGAAGUGGUCUCCCAAUUGGGAGGGUCCCUAUCGGAUAAAUCGAUCUGCUCCUGGCAACGCCUAUAUCUUAGAAACUCUCGAAGGAGUUGAAUUUCCCAGGGCAUUAAAUGGCAAAUAUCUAAAGAAAUAUUACCCGAGCAUAUUGGUCGAUGUAUAAAAGUUUAAGUGCCGAUAACAUUCCUAUCGGCUGGAUUAAACUGUGUCAGGGGCCGGACUUAGCGUCCUAAAAAGGGUGCCGAUGACAGUCCUAUCGGCUAGAUCAAAAUAAUUAAGGCAAAGGAGCAAAGUGUGGCGCCGAUGAGGAAUUCAUAUGUUUAACAAAGCCUGGAUCGUCGAUAUGGCGCGCAGACAGAUCUGGUUGGCUUCUUCUAUCUCCUUCAUGUCAUCAUCGGUAGAGCCCUCCAUUGGCUUUAGCUUCUUCUUCAUCUGCAGUGCUUUACGAGCCUGGGUGUUUCGCUCUUGCUCAAGAGUUUCGAUUGCUUCAGGCAGUUGGCUUUCUUCCUGUUGGCCUUGGGACAGAGCUUCCCUUCUCGCCGAUAGAUCAGAAAACUUCUGCUUCAGUACGUCUCCUGAGGAUUUCAGAAUGUCGAUGCUCUUAUGCUUCUCAUCGGCAAGGAGUUUCACCUUCAUCAUCUCCUCUGAGAGUUGAGCGUGAGCAGCUCUAUCGGCAAGACGCUGGGCAGCUUUUUGAUACUGCAGCUGACGACUCUCUAAGUGUGCAGCCUGAAAAAUGGUCGUGUCUUGAUGAAGGAGGGCCGACAAUUCUUCUAACUUUGCUCUAAUUACUGCCGAUGAGAUUCCAAUAGCUCGAGAAGAACUUGCCUCCUCGCCUUCAUCCUCAGAGAUGUCGAUGGCAAAGGAGAACAAGCUGUCAGGAGAGUCCUAUUCCUGAAAAGGAAAAUAAAAUAAGUUAUUUUAUGAUCAAGCACUGAUAAACAAUACAGAUAGAGAUUGGGUAACUUACUUGUUUUAGGGCUAUCUCUCUUCUCUGACUAGAUGAUGCCGAUGGAACCACGGGCUGAUCGGCUGGUGUUGCGGAUGAGACUAUGUCAGCUGAAAGAUUAACAGAAGUAAUUAUAAGAUGGGAAAAGUAGGUUCAUCGGCAAUGAUUUCAUAGAGAAUAUGUUACCUUGAGGGGGUACAGUGCUUGUCUGAAUUGAGGAAACUACCGAUGCUAUGAUCAGGCUUGCUGGAUCGGCAGUUUCCUCGUGCACGUCAGCCAAUGUGUCUUUUGGCUGAGGCUCCUCUGGCAGGAGUUCUUCUGUGUGGAGUUCUUCUUGUGGCUGAGGAGGAGAUGGUUCUUGUUGUAUCUGGACUUCUGGAGAAGAGGGAGAAGAUUCCACCGGGAUCGGUGACCUUGGAGGAGGAGAAGGUGUUGCUGUUCUCUGGCGCUUCGCCUGGGUUCUGGUACUCUUGGAGCUUUUCCUCUUUGGUUGGCUGGACUGGGGGGCAUCGGCAAUCGCACCUCUGGUCUUUGCUGAUGUGCCAGUUUGCUGAUACAACAAUGGAAAUUUGUGAGUACAAGUGUAACAGAUGAAAGAACGGAAUCGGUAUGGGUAAAAGAAUUUGAAAUUUACCUUGAAGGCUUGUGCUAAAGUGGAGACAACAACCGAGGAGAUGCCUUCGUCUGCUUGGUGGUGACUUUCUUGAGACGUACACCCCGAUGCAUUGUAGCGGCCAGGGAUGGAGAGUUGUUGCCGAUCAACGAAAUCGGACCCGAUGGAAGGAGCUCAAUCGGCUUACCACUCCUGCUGACCGAUGGGGGUGUGUUAUCAAUCUGUAAUAUAACACAGAAAGUGAGUUACCGAUGGAAGUAAAAGUGAAAGGAUUGAAACAUCGGUUUAGAAAUACUUACAGUAUUAUCGGGGAUUUUGUACUGGGGGUCGAUCAUGCCGCGGUACGUGAGAGCCGAUUUACAGAACAAAUGCUCUUUCCAUUCUUCCCACCAUUGUUUGUAUGCCUGAGUAAUGAAGAGAGCCGGAAUCCAAUCUGAUAGAUCGGCAUCUGUAUCGGCAUUUGGUGGUAGUUGAGCUAUUCUAGUCCACUCGAGAAGACUAGUGAUGGUUUCCUUGGUUUUUAUCACAUCGGUAUGACAAAGUGCAAUCGGCAGCUGACCGAAAGCUAGUUGACGGGCUAAUGCCAAUGGGUUGUAGAAUUCAUAGGUCUAGUUGGAGGCUUUCCCACUGCCAAAGAAGUUUACUGGUAUAGCUCUAGGAGUGAUAAGUGCCAUCAUCACAUCAUGAUCUUUAUUGAGAGCAUCGUCGAAGGGGUGAAAGGUCAAAGGAAAUCUGGUGUCUAGAUCUUCAUAAGGCAUCCAUGCUCGCUGUUCUUUGGUCAGACCCUCGUAAAGAGUCUAAAAGAAUCGGCUGACUUGAUCUCCGUUGCCUCCAGUACCAGGAAAAACUAUGACGACUUCACCAUAGUUUAAGGGAGGACGGGUUGCCGAUUCUUCAUCAUCCAACUCAUGAUCCUCUGCUAUAUCCCUAGGGAAACGCUGUGCAAAAAGGUCGAAUCCCAGUCGCUUGUGCAUAUGGAGGCUAAGCCACAUGUUGAUGAACCACCAAGGGCCCCCUAAGUUGCCAAUGGAUUGACCAAGCAGUAGUUUCUGAGCUACCUGAUGGAGGAGGUGAUAAGCAGAGCCGAGUAGGUAUCGGCCGAGGGGAAAUCGGCCACCAUUGGCUAAUCUCUCUGCUGCCGAUAGGUAGACAGAGGUUGGUCCUGUCGAUCGACCGCAGAAUACAAAUUUGUCUAACCGCAUGUUCAGGAAGGUGGUCUGUUCCUUUAUGUUGACAGGCCCUGUUCUACGGUACUUCUGAAUGUACCCAGACCAGCCACCGAUAGAGCGAGUUCCCACCUUAGCGCUAGGUUGGGUGUCAAAUAUGUGACUACUAUCGGCAGUGGAUACAUCUAAGCCAGUGAGCAUAAGCACAUCGGCAAGAUUGGGAGAAGCAGGGCUACCAUGGCCGAAAACAAAAGCAUUAAGUGUGUCUGACCAAAAGUAUGAGGCAGCUAUCAGUAACGACUCAUUUCUCUCCAUAUCGGCAAGAGACAAUCUGAUGCACUGAUCCUGUUUCGGUUCACCCCAUUGGACCUCAUUUGAGUUACUGACUCUCAGGAACCAAUCCUUCCAUCCCUUGGUAGGAUUAGGCCAGGAACGGAAAGCAUCCUUCCAUAGAUCUAAAGAGAAAUUCUCGGCUCUAAAAGGGAUUCUGUUGGUCUCCGCAUUUAUAAGAUCGGUGGGAUCUAAGUUUCCUAGUGGACCAAGGCAUUGAAGGUGGGGUUGAUCGGUAGGAAUAACGAUUUUAUUGACCAAAUCCUAGAAAUUUUUGGGAGUGAAAAGAAGAACAAAAAGGAAAAAGAAUUCGGUAAGAUAGAUUGCGGAUAAACAGGGAUACAAUGAAUGUGCAGGAAAAAGAGCAGUACGCUGACCUCAGGAACGACGAAGUUGAUGGCCAUCUCCUAGUAGGGGAGAAGAUUGAGAACUUGGGGGUUGUUGGAGGAGGUUCUUGUUGAAGUUCUUGGAGCUCUCGAACAGUGCCGCCACCAGAAAAGCAGAGUUGGGCUGUAGAAUGAUGCGAUGGAGAAGGAGUACCCGAGAAGGAACUAUUUAUAGGACAAAACGGGCAAAGGCAAAUCUGACUUAUCUCUUCGCCGUAUCCGUGAAAUCCGAGGACACUCAGGUGGAUAUGGUAACUGUUCGCACGGUAAUCAAGGGAUUGCACAGGUGAUUUGGCAAGAAGCGGUCAUAAUCUAGAGAUAUUUCACUGUGCGGGAUUUCCUGGUCGGUCCAUCGGCAGCUCCUUCUAACGGUAAUAUUGCCGAUGGGCGAAUAAAGUGGAGAUGUCCAGUUUGGGAGGUUGAGGAAUUCGAGGAAUCUGUGGAAGAAUCGGGCUAGAGUUGUUCGAUUUCAACGGUCGGUUACCAAAUUGAGAGGAUUAAUUGCGGAAAGGCAUCAUUACUGCAGAGAAUUUCGGAGCAUUAAUGAUUUUAUACUCCGAAAUUGGGGGCAUGUGUUGACACCGUUUUUGGACACGUACCCAGGAUCGGUAGAGCAUAGAUCGGCAAGAUAGGGCAACAGAAAAUGGUUUGCAAGAGAAUUGCCGAUGAAGGUGGUUGCCGAUGAAGGGACAGCUGAAUGUGACUAAGUCCAUGAGUGGUGACGCGUUCAUGCCGAUGGUCAGCGUUAGCCUUUGUCGAUGGCUACGAUGAGGAGUCUGCCAAUGACUCGGAAGGAGAACAUAAAGGUUGACGAUUGGUCCAUGGUGGUGUCGCAGUUUGUCGCGUGAGGAUAGUUUUGUGUUUUCCUUAGUUAUUUAAAUUAUUUUGUAUACAGAUUCUGUUUAAUUUGGAAUUCGAGUCCUAGUCGUGUCUGAUUGUAGCUCUUUGAGCAGGGUAUAAAUGUAGACCCUAGGGCCUUGUAAUGGAGAAUCUAUCAAUCAAUCAAACACAAGUUUUUACUCACAUUCCAGCAUCUACUUUUUCAAUGACUUCGUCAUAUUUUCCUUUUCAUUACGAGUUCUUAGGAGUUUGUUGACUUAAGCUCGGUGUAUUCUCAAGUUCCGCAUGAAUACCUCUUGGCCGUGGCAUCCAGGCGCAUCGCUGUUGUCGGGACCAAAGUGUUCGAGUUAUCACCUUUGCCCAUAGUAGGGUCAAAUCUGCUGGCACGCCUUAACGUUCGAAUCGGGUAUUAGCCCUUUGUGUUUGCAGAUCCACUUUUGCAUCAACAAUCCGAUGAUGGCAAUUAUCACUCUGAGAGCCAUACCAGUGAACUUCUUUGGUAGCGGGAAAGCCUCCAAUCUGACCUAUGAGUUCUACAACCCAUCGGCACUAGCUCGCCAACUAGCCUUUGGACAGCUGCCGAUUGCACUCUGCUAUGCCGAUGUGGUGAAACCAAGGGAAACCAUAACCAGCGGUCUUGAGUGGAUCAGACUAGCUCAACUUCCACAAAAUGCCGAUACAGACGUUGAUCUAUCGGCUUGGAUCCCAGCUCUCUUCAUUACUCAGGCAUACAAACAGUGGUGGGAGGAAUGGAAAGAUCACCUGUUCUGUAGAUCGGCCCUCACAUACCGCGGCAUGAUCGACCCCAAGUACAAGAUCCCCGAGAACACUGUAGGUCUUUAACCGAUGCUUUAAUCUGUUUAUUGCUUUUAUUCCUAUCGGUAACUCACUUUUUCUCUUUUUAAACAGGUUGACGAUACACCACCGAUAGUCAGCUGGAGCAGAAAGCUGAUCGAACUCCUUCCAUCAGGUCCGAUCUCUCUUAUCGGUAACAACGCACCAACCCUGGCAACUUUGAUGCAUAGGAACGUGCAUUUCAAGAAGAUUACCACCAGACGAGCAAAGACGUCCCCAUCGGUGGCUGCCACUACUCUGGCACAAGCUUUCAAGGUAAAACCCUGAUUUCUUCAAUUUACACUGAUUCCAUUCCAUACUCACACGACCUUUUUAGGAUACAUCGGCUGCUAUGGUAACCUCAUCGGGAACCUUUAUUGUCUCAAUCAGAAUUCCAUCAAUACUCUGUCACAUUUGUACUUAUGAAACUUUUGUUGCUAUAUCAGCAAACUGGCAAAUCGGCAAGGACCAGGACAAGUGCCGACGCCCCCCAAUCUGGCCAAGUCAAGAGAAAAGGCCCCAAGAGUACCAAGUCACAAGCAAAACGCUAGAGGACAGCAUUGCCUCCUCCUCCUCCUCCAAGAUCGCCGUUUCAUGUGGAAUCGUCUCCUUCUUCGCCAGAAGUUCAGACACGGCAAGCGCCAUCUCCACCUCGGCCAUAAGAAGUACCUCAGCCAGAAGAGAUAUCAGCUGAUGUACUUGAGCAGACUGACGAUCCAGUAGGAUCAAUCAUAGCAUCGGUAGUCUCUUCAAUCUAGACAAGCACUGCACCCCCUCAAGGUAUGGUUCUGUCCAUAAGAUUAUUUGCCGACGGAUUUUUUUGAACUUGUAACACUCAUUAUUAUUAUAUAAUUUUCAGCCGACAUCAUUCCAUCGGCAACUCCAGCCGAUCAACCUAUAGUACCAUCGACCUCAGCUAGCCAGAGGCGAGAAAUUGCCCUGAAACAAGUAAGUCACCUAAUUUCUAUUUUUGUCAUCACUAGUACUUGAUCAUCAAAUAACUUAUUUUAUUUUCUUAUCCAGGAACAAGACUCUUCGGACAGCUUGUUCUCUUUUGCUAUUGAAAUUUCUGAUGAUGAAGGCGAAGAAGCAAGUUCUUCUCAAGCAGUAGGGAUUUCAUCGGUAGAAAUCAGAGCUAAACUGGAGGAUCUGCUGGCCCUGCUUCAUCAGGAUACAGCUCAAUUAGUCGACAACUCUGAUCCAGCAAAAGCCCUAUUCAAAGCUCUCAGAGGUCAGAUCCCUGCCGAUGCCGAAGAGACUCUUUUUCAGGCCGCACACUUAGAGAGCCGCCGACUUCAGUAUCAAAAGGCUACCCAACGUCUUGCCGAUAGAGCCACUCAUGCCCAGCUCUCGAAGGAGGUAAUGAAAGUGAAGCACCUUGUCGAUGAGAAACACAAGAGCAUCGGCAUUCUAAAAUCCUCAGGAGAGACGCUGAGACAAAAGAUCUCUGACCUAUCGGCAAAAAGGGAAGCCCUAUUGGUAGAGCUCAAGCUAGUAGAAGAGGCUCUGUACCAAGGUCAAUAGGAAGAAAGUCAGCUGUCUGAAAUGAUCAAGACCCUCGAACAAGAGCGAAACAUCCAAGCCCGCAAGGCACUGCAGAUGAAGAAGAAGCUAAAGCCAGUGGAGUGCUCUGCCGAUGAAGACAUCAAGGAGAUAGAAGAAGCCGAUCAAAUUCGUCUGUGCGCCAUAUCGGCGAUCCAAGCUCUGCUGAAUGUAUAAGUUCUUCAUCGGUGGCGUGUUUUGCUUUUUCUUCAAAAACUCUUGAUUAUUUUGGUCUAGCCGAUUGGACUGUUAUCGACAUCCUUUUGAAACAUUGUAUUCAGUCCCAGAUACAUUUUAAUCCAGCCGAUAGGAAUGUUAUCGGCACUUAAGCUUUCAUGCAUCGACCCAUAUGCUUGGGUAAUAUUUCUUUAAGUAUUUUCCAUUCAAUGCUCUGGGAAAUUCAACUCCUUCGAGAGUUUCCAAAAUAUAAGCAUUACCAGGAGCAGACCGAUUUAUCCAAUAAGGACCUCACCAAUUAGGAGACCAAUUCCCAAAUUUUGAACUUUUAGUCCCAAUCUGUAAGAUUAGUUUCCACACCAAAUCCCCAUCAGCAAACUCUUUAGCUUUUACCUUUUUAUCAUACCACCUAGCAACUCUCUUUUUAUUUUCUUCUAUACUUAUCAAAGCCCUCAGCCGAUGCCCUGCUAAAUCAUCUAACUCAUCUUUCAUCAAAGUAGCGUAGUCAUCGGCAGCCAACUGAUCUUGGAAAGAUAUUCACCUAGACCCGGACUAAAUCUCCCAUGGUAACACUGCAUCGUGUCCAUACGCCAACUGAUAAGGUGAAACUUUAGUCGACCCAUGACAUGCCAUCCGAUAUGACUAUAAAGCCUCACUUAACAAUGUAUGCCACCUUCUGGGAUUUUCUUCAAUCCUUCGUUUGAUGAGUUUAAUAAUUCCUUUGUUGGACGCCUUGGUCUGCCCGUUGGCUUGAGCAUAAUAAGGGGAAGAAUUCAACACUUUAAUCCCCAUACCGAUUGCAAAUUAAUCAAACUCUCCUGACGUAAACAUGGUACCCUGAUCGGUAGUAAUCCUUUGAGGAAUGCCAAAUCGGUAAAUAAUAUGCUCUUUCACAAAAUCGAUCAUAUUGGCCGAUGUUACUUUCUUCAAAGGAAUAGCUUCAACCCACUUAGUGAAAUAAUCAGUGGCAACUAAGAUGAACUUAUGCCCUUUGCUUGAUGGUGGAUAAAUCUGGCCGAUUAAAUCAAUAGCCCAUCCUCGGAACGGCCAAGGUUUAAUAAUAGGAUUCAUAGCCGAUGCGGGUGCCCUUUGAAUAUUGCCAAACAUUUGACAUCCUUUGAAAUAUUUAAAGCAAUCUUCGAGUAUGGUUGGCCAAUAAUACCCGUUUCUCCUAAUCAUCUAUUUCAUCUUAAAAGCCGACUGAUGUGGUCCACAUACUCCCUGAUGGAUUUCUCCCAUCAAACUUUUAGCCACAUCAUCACCCAAGCAUUUGAGAAGAACUCCAUCUAUUGUUCGAUAAUAAAGCUCAUCCCCAAGGAGUACGUACUUAGUAGCUUGAAACCUGACACGCCUUUCAACCUUUCUAGAUGGAUCCUUUAAAUAAUCAAUGAUCUACUUCCUCCAAUCAUCGGCACCGACUGUCGAUAACGUGUUAAAUAGGGGUUGAUAUCCCGAGGCAUGCUGAGCCAACUGAUUAGCCUCCUCAUUAUGUAAUCGAGGAACAUGAUUUAAUCGGAAAUCCUUAAAUUCCUUUAAUAGCUGCAUACUCCGUUCAUAAUAGGUUAUCUAGACUUCGCUUCGGCAUUCAUAAAUCCCAGCCAGCUGAUUUAUAACAAGCAUAGAAUCGCCAAAGAUUUCAACGGCAUUAGCAUGGACCUCUUUUAAUAAUUCCAACCCUUUGAUCAAAGCUUGAUAUUCAGCUUGGUUAUUGGUUGACGUAGCAACAAUCGGCAAAGAAAACUCAUACUUCUUUCCCUGAGGAGAAACUAACACUAUACCGAUUCCUACCCCCCUGUCACACGUGGAUCCAUCAAAGAAGAGCGCCCAAGGAACAAUUUCCAAAGUACCCAUCAUACCACAAUAUUGAUUUACAAAAUCGGCCAUAACCUGCCCCUUAACUGCCUUAGCCGAUUCGUAACGUAGAUCAAAUUCCGAUAGUGCCAAAAUCCAUUUACCGAUUCUGCCACUCAUAAUCGGCAUAGAUAACAUGUAUCGGACUACAUCAUCUUUGCAUACAACAGUGCAUUCGGCCGACAGCAAAUAGUGCCUUAACUUGAUACAUGAAAAAUAUAGGCAUAAACAUAACCUUUCAAUUGCCGAAUACCUGGUCUUAGCAUCGAUCAAUCUUCUACUUAAAUAAUAAAUUACACGCUCCUUCCCUUCAAAUUCUUGAAUUAAAGCCGAACCGAUGACCAGCCCAUCGGUAGACAAAUAUAAUCUGAAGGGCUUUCCUUGCUGAGGUGGAAUUAGAACUGGAGGAUUUGUCAAAUAAUUCUUGCUUUCAUCCAAGGCUAACUGUUGCUCCUCUCCCCAUUCAAACUCUUGAUCGGCUUUCAAUUUGAGUAAAGGACUGAAAGCACGAAUUUUACCAGACAAAUUAGAUAUAAACCGCCUAAUAAAAUUUACCUUGCCGAUCAAAGACUGGAGUUCAAUUUUGUUGGUAGGAGCAACUAUCUUAUUGAUGGCAUAAAUAGAUCUCCUACUAAUUUCAAUUCCUCUCUUAUGCACCAUGAAACCAAGAAAUUGCCCUGCCAAUACACCAAAUGCACACUUAUUAUGAUUCAUCUUUAAACCAUGUUUCCCUGUGCAUUCCAACACCUUUCGCAAAUCGGCAAGAUGCUUUGUGAAAUCCCCAGACUUAACCACCACAUCAUCAAUGUAAAUUUCUACCAGCUUGCCGAUGAACUCAUGAAAGAUAAAAUUCAUAGCCCUUUGAUAGGUAGCACCAGCAUUCUUCAAGCGAAAGGUCAUGACUAUCCAUUCAAACAGCCCAACAUGACCAGGACAUCUAAAUGUGGUCUUUGGAAUAUCUUCUUCAGCCAUGAAUAUCUGGUUAUAUCCUGCAUUGCCAUCCAUGAAGCUUAUGAUCCGAUGUCCAGCCGCAGCAUCGACUAGCAAAUCGGCAAACGGCAUUGGGUAACAUCCAUCGGCGUAGCCUUGUUAAGAUUCCUGAAAUCAAUGCAAACUCGAAGCUUCCCAUUCUUCUUGUAAACUGGAACAACAUUGGAAAUCCACUCGGCAUACCGACACUGCCGAAUAAAUUUAGCUUCAAUAAGUUUGGUUAUUUCGGCCUUAAUAUCAGGAAGAAUACUAGGAUUACAUCGGCGGGCUGGCUGCUGAUGUGGCCGAAAUCCGGAUUUGAUAGGCAACCAAUGUUCAACAAUAGAUCGGUCCAAACGAGGCAUCUCAGUAUAAUCCCAAGCAAAGCAAUCUUUAUAUUCCUUUAACAAAUUGGUUAACUGUUGCUUACACUCAGAAUUUAACUUAGCACUAAUAAAAGUAGGCCUUGGCCUAUCACCAUUACCUAUGUCUACCUCUACUAAAUCAUCGGCCGAUGUAAACCCCUGGCCUAAUGUUCCAUCAUCGGCGAACCUAUCCAUUAAAACUCCUCAUCAGAACCGACUGCUUGGAUUGGUGGAAUUUCGUAAUCGGCAACCUUGAGGAAAUCCUUCUCCCAAAUUUCUCCUGAAAUGCACCUGGUCCUCUCAUAAGUAUCUGCCUCUGCCGAUGCAAUGACGUAUGAAGAAUCUCCUGGGACAAUCUCAAUCUUGUCACCUACCCACUGAACCAAACACUGGUGCAUUGUAGACGGGAUGCAACAAUUGGCAUGGAUCCAAUCUCUUCCCAAUAGAAGAUUAUAAGCACCCUUUCCACUGAUAACAAAGAAAGUUGUCGGCAAGGUUUUGCUGCCGAUGGUCAACUCGACAUAUAUUGCCCCCUUAACUGGAGACACAUUCCCUUCAAAGUCUUUUAGCAUCAUAUCGGUCUUCGUCAAGUCUUGAUCUCCUCUCCCAGCUUCCGAUAGACUACAUACGGCAUGAUAUUGAUAGCAGCCCCACCAUCAACAAGUAUCUUGGUCAUCGGCUGCCCAUCAACCCUACCUUUGACAAACAGAGCCUUGAGAUGCUGUCUUUCAUUGUCGGCAGGCUUUUCAAAGAUAGCCGUCAUUGGAUCCAAAGCCAACUGAGCUAUUUGGUCGGAAAAAUCCACCUCCUCGUCAUCACUAGACGGCGCAAGGAACUCUAUCGGCAACAUAAACAUCAUAUUAACAUCUUCCGAUGGUCCUUUCCCCUUGGGAUCUGGCUGUUGCCGAUCUUCAGACUUUGCAGAAUUCUCUCCUUUGCUCAGCUCUUCUCGUCUUUCACGCUGCAGCCUUCUUUUUUGUGUCCUAGUGAGCCCCUCUGGACACCAUGGAGGAAGUUGCGGCUGCCUUACCGAUUGUUGACGAACUUCCCUUGACUCCACUUGGUAAGUAUUGGCAUCUCUACAAAAUAUCAACUCAUCGGGAACUCGUGCAUCUGCCAUCACCAGGUCUGUUACGCACACUGAGCUGAAGUUCUCCCCCUAAACGGUCCAUUAAAUUGUCGAUCAUCGUUUUGAUACUGCCGAUUAGGUCUAUCAUACCGAUCAUAACCAUUGCACUCCGGGCAAUCCCUAACAGUGGGCAGUUUAAUAUUUUGUUCCCUGCAAUGGACAAAAAAUGGGCAGUUCCAGAGAUCCUUAUGCCGAUUCCACUCCUGUCGACGUCUUUCUUCUUCCCGACGAUGAUCCUCCUGCUGGCGCCGAUACCGAUCUUCAUGUUGUUGACAGGUCUCCCGAUGCCUUCUAUGAGUUAUUACAAUGCCAGAUCGGGGAGGCCUUCCUGAACUGGUUCCUUCCUGAACCAGACCUUUGCCUUUACCGUCACCGGUAGUAAUCUGAUGUUGAGGAUCCACCGAUGCACUUCUUUCAGCUGCCUCUGACGCCAAGACCUUAGUUUUUCCCUUAGCAUCCAACAUAUUUGUUGGGAAAGGAUGUUGAUCGAUCUUCAUUGGCUUCUGAGCUUUAGAAUUAUUGAACUUGAUUCUCCUAGACUCUAUGGCCGAUUACAGCUGUUGCUUGAAAACUUUGCACUCAUUUGUGUUGUGGGAUGUUGCAUUGUGCCACUUGCAAUACUUCAUCUUCUUUAAUUCCUCAGCCGAUAGAAUCAUAUGAUUGGGUGACAACUUGAUUUGCCCAUCUUGAAGUAGAAAGUCAAAUAUCAUAUCGGCUUUGGUGAUAUCAAAUGCAAAUUUCUCUGGCUCUUUAUGCCCAAAAGGGCAAGACAUUGGCUUCUUAUUUUUUAGCCACUUUGCCAACCCGAUGACUGGUUCUUCAUCAGAGUCUGAGCUUGCUGCCUCAUCGACAAAUGACACCUUUUUAUUCCAUGCUCUCUUGGGCUCAAAAGGUUUGAUAUCUUGGUCAGAAAUCCUCUGCACCAGAUGACUUAGACUCUCGAACUCUUGAGAAGCAUACUUGUCUCUGAUAUGUGGCAACAAUCCCUGGAAAGCCAAAUCGGCAAGCUGCCGAUCGUCCAGAACCAGACUAUAGCACUUAUUCUUAACCUCUCGCAACCUCUGCACAAAACUCUCAACUGAUUCAUCAUUGCGCUAUUUCAGCCUAACUAAAUCAGUGAUCUUUUUCUCUUGAACUCCAGAAAAAAAGUAUUUGUGGAAUUGUUUCUCUAGAUUGGCCCAAGUGAUUACUGAGUUGGGAGGUAACAAAAUAAAACAAGUAAAAGCCGAUCCAGACAAAGAUGAUGAGAACAAGUGAAGCCUUAACUCAUCUCUGUUAGCAGCUUCUCCACGUUGGAUGAUGAACCUAUUAACAUGCUCCAUAGUUGAUGUAUCAUCCUGUCUAGAAAACUUAGUGAAAUCUGGUACCUUGUACCGAUUUGGAAGUGGAAUUAAGUCAUAUGCAGGAGGAUACAGUGUUCGAUAAGAGUAAGUAUUGACUUUGGGCUUUAUCCUAAAUUGGUCUCUUAUUACUUCAGCUAUCUUAUCGGCCCAAUAUGCAUCGGCAUCUUGCCGAUGAGGCGGUUGUGGAUCUAGCACCUGCUGAUAAGCUUCCAAGUGUCUCUGUGGUGCACGAUCUCCAUGGAACAUCACAUUAACCAUCUGACCACCAAUUUGCUGACAAAGAUUCAUCGGCUGGUUGAUCAAUCCUUGAUUUUGAAACCUAGGUUGAACUGGUCCUUGUUGAAACCCUACAGCCUGAUGAUUCUGCUGAGGAAUCUGUGGAAAGACAAACUGCCCUGUCCAUUCAUUAUUAACAUUCAUCAGCGUAGGCCCUACCGAUGAUUGGUAAUUGGGCAUCAUCAUUGAAUUGAUAUACCCUGGUUGUGUCAUAAACCUCUGCUGCGUCGGCAUUGGAUCUGCCGAAGCAUUAGGCAUCUAGAACGUUGGUGCUUGCGAAUUCCCAGUGUAAGGUCUUGUAGUAGUAGUUGUAGAGUACUAGGGAUUCUGAUUCAUCGGUGGAUUUGGAGGUGCCGAUGCCUUAGGAGCCUUGCCUGCCACGUCAGCCACUUGAGAUGUUCCAGGACUUUUUGCCAUCAAUUCUGGGGCCAUAACAUAACUCCACCAGUUGGGAGGAACAGUCCCUGACAUUGCCGAUGCCAAUAGAUCUGUGGCAAGCUUGAUUUGCCCACCUGAUGUUGAUGGAUUGGUUGUCAUUGGUGUAGACUACGCAUUAGUGAUCCCUAAUGUGCUUGGAGGAGAAGUAGCUUCUAUACCCGCAACGGCUGUAGUAGCCGAUGGAGCCGUGACCAAUGAUGACCCUGGCUGAUGAUAGGCAGGACCCACAUAAGUUGGUGGUACUUGUCCUUCUUUGAAAGUUCUAGCUACAGCAUUGAAAACCAUGUUGGACAGCACACCAGCUUGAAGGAAAAGAUGACAAAGGGCAAAAGAAAGCAAGAAAAGAGAAAGCUUUCUCUUUUCAUGUGCCAUCGGUGCCAUGAAGUGGGACAUCUUGCUAAUGGUUGCCCAAACAAAGAGAAGCUCAAGAAGAUGAAAGAAAAGAGAGCCUCAAGCAAGUCAAGUGCUUCAAGUGCCACACUUGGGGUCAUCUCACCUCAAUGUGCCCAACCAAGCAAUUGGUGAAGCAACAAGAAGAGCCUCAACCUAAGCCACAAGUUGAGCAAGAGAAGUCACCCCAAGCUCAAGUCCAGAUCAACCAUCAUGAUGAUGACUUGAUGAUGAAGAAGAAGAAAACAAGAAGGGGUGGAAGAGCAAGGCAUCCAAUGCAAAUCCAAGAUGCUAAAAUGAUGAGCAAGGAUGAUGGACACUUUGCAUCGAGGUGUCCUACCAAGCUUGAGAAGAAGGCUCAAGCAACUUUCAAGAGGCAAGGCAAUGAGACGCACAACAUGAGCAAGGAAGACAAAGCUCAAGCAAAGAGAAUGUGCUACUCAUGCCGGGAAAGGGGACACAUGGCUCAUUCAUGUCCCCUAGGUAAUAAUUCUAAGCCUAUUUCAAUUGAUGAUAACAUUGUGCUUAGAAAGGAUGGCAAUGGUACCUCAUUGGUUGCUAUUGCAAAACACCUCGCUACUCAUACUAAGGCUAUGCCUAAGUAUGUUGCACCUAACUUGAGAGGACCCAAACUAGUUUGGGUACCAUCAAAAUGUGGAUGAAUGUGUGUAGGUACCAUCGGCAUUGGAGGCUUGAUUCAAUUUGAUCUUUAUUAUUCAUCAUAUGAUUGAGUCAAGUAUUGAAGUUUUGAGAGGACCCAAACUAGUUUGGGUACCAUCAAAAUGUGGAUGAAUGUGUGUAGGUACCAUCGGCAUUGGAGGCUUGAUUCAAUUGAUCUUAUAUUAUUCAUCAUAUGAUUGAGUCAAGUAUUGAAGUUUAGUGCUUAUAUCCCAAUGCCAAUUCAAAACAAGAGAAGUCCAAGUGCUAUAACAUAUAAGUGCAAAUAUUCAAGUUGUGAUAAUUCAUUGGAUUAUUUGAUGGCUUACAAUUACAUGAGUUGAAGCUUGCAAAUUAGAUGAUCAUGAGCUAACAAAGAAUCUGCCAGAAAAGUGACAAGUAUUGGAUUGAUCUAUAGUCACUUCAAUUGAAAGGUCCUCAAGUUGGAAACAUGAUUAAAAGUGUUUGAGGCACCUAAGUUUGCUUUUAAAUUGAUCUAGAAGCAUGACAAGUAUUGAGUACAAGGUCAUUUGAUUGUGAAAUAUACUUGGUGUACACAUUUAGUACUCAAGAUUGAAGAUCAUGAUCAAACUCAAGAUGAAGAUGAAGUUUAAGUUCUAGAGACUAUUAGAAAAUAUUUGGUAGAAAGAAAAGGACUUAAACAAGUAGAAAGAAAAGGCAUUAAAGAAGGAUUCAUGGUUACUCAUCACAUUAAGUCCAUCACUUGAAUCAAUCAAAUCAAAGCAAUUCAAGUAAGUGUCAAGAAUGGUUCUUUGGAGAGAGGUCACUUCUCCCUAUGUGAGGGGCUUGCCGCCCGAGGAGUGGCUUAACCAAGUAUGGUGCUUGGAAGGCUAAUAUGGAAGUGGUGAUCUAAAGGACAUUUAAGAUUCUUAGUUGAAGCAAUCAAAAGGAUUGAUCAAGAGAGCAAGCAACACCCAAAAGAGAGCUAGUCAUGCUAUUUCAAUUGGUAUUCUUAGUAGUUCUCUCAUGCAAGAAAUGAUCAAGAAAAGAUGAAGCAAGCCAACCACAACAAAAGAUAGUGCACUUAAUCAUAAGUGGUUCUCAAUUCAUAUGGGUGAAGAUUUGAUCUAUCAAUUGGUAUCUAUGAUUGGUCUUCACCAAGCUUAUCAAUUGGACUUCACAUUGCUAUUUGGAGCACAAAUUUGGAAUCUUAUUGACUAUCCUCUACUCCAACAUAGCAAAGGUAUCAUUUUAAUGUGCAUGAUCAUUUCAUCCCUUACUAGUAUGUGGUUAGUGCAUAUAGUACAUGCUUAUUAGGAUCAUGCAUUACAAAUGAAAUGUUUUAAAUUCAUAAGCCUACCACUAUUGCUUGAAUGACUAAUUGAUCUAGUGGUAUGUAUAUGAGUUUGUUCAUGCACUAGUGAACCCAUGUACUUGAUCUAUUUUGAAUUGUUAACAAGUGACAAGUACAACAUUGGCAAGAUAACCCUUGAUGUGAGGUGUGAAAAAGCUUGUCAUUGGUUCAAACCGGACUUGGAAGCUUAGGCAAAUCAAUUUAGUUCAAUUCAACAAUUAGAAGCUCAUGGUAAUAACAGUAUAAGAACAAGACAACAAUGCAAAAGGAUAUCUAGACUUAAAUGUUUCUUCAAUUGGUAUCCAACAAAUGAUACUCAUGACGAUGAUAGCAAAUGUUCAAGAUUGCAAACAAGUGGUUCCAUACUAGAAGACCUUCAAUUGGUAGAAGAUUUUCAUUUGGUAUCAGACAAGAUCUUUCAAAUGAUAUCACAUUUAUACAUAUGGUAUCUAUCAUACAAGAAGGUGGUUCCACAAGUGAUCCUCAACUUUAAGUGAUCAUCAAGCAAAGAAAGUUCCCUCACCAACAAGAUUGUCAAGUGAAUGACGCAUGCUAUGACAUAGAGGGAGGUGCCCCACAAAAUGGUAUCAAGGUCAAAGAUCCUAUGUGGUAUCUCAAGAGCAAUUCAAGUAAUGUCAUUCCAACACAUAUGGUGAUGUCCAUCAAAAAUUGCAAGAUUCAAGUCUCAACCAUCUACCCCAUAUGCAAUCCUUUGUCACAAUGAGAUACACACUUUUUCAAUUGGUAUGAAGUGAUUUAAUUGGUAUCACAUACCUUUUACGGAAAUUGAUGACAAAGGGGGAGAAGUUGGAACAAAGAUAUGAUCAUGGGAUAAGUUGGACAACAAAAGAUAUGUUUCAAGGGGGAGAGAUCAAACAUGGACAUGGACCAAGAGGGAGCAACAUUGAAGAAAAAAAGAUGGAUCAAAAUUCUUGAACAUGAGAAGCACACAAGUAGGGGGAGCAAGCUCAUGAACAUUGAUUGUUUGCAUUUGAUUUGUGCAUAUUCAUGUGCUUGCUUGCAUUGCAUAAGUUUCUAAAUACAAUAUGAAUGCUUGUGUGGUGUAUGCUAGUUAUAGAACUUGAUUGAUGAUAUGAAAACUAGUAUGCAUAGGUUGGUAGCUAGACUUGUGUUCUUCAAGUAAAGACUAGACCCUUGCUCUUAAUGUUGAUCUCAUGAGAUUUCUAGUGUUUUUGCUGUCUAGCUACUCAUGGUGCUAAGGAUGGUGUACAUCGAAUGCUUCAAAUGAUAUCGAAUUUGGUAUCGAGCUACAAAGGUUUACUCUAUACACCUCAGCACUUAGUAGGGUUUUAUGGUGCUUAUCCAAUUUUUGACAUAGUGCUUAAAUGUUGGAUAAGUAGCAUAAAAUCCAAAACAAGUUAGCAACUUACACUUGUGUGAAGUGCUAGCUUGAAAAAGCUUAAUUUCCAUAUCUUGGUAGAGUUGUCAUCAAUUACCAAAAAGGGGGAGAUUGAAAGGUCCUUGUUUGGUUUUGGUAAUUGAGUGACAACUUCGGUGGAUUAAUAGUGUUUAUGUGAGAUACACAGGAGAUUAGUCCACAUGUGAUUAUGUGAUGAUGAAGGAGCUCAUUGCAUAUGAGACAUGACAUGGUGUCAUGUGACCAAAGUGGAGAAGAUCAAGAUGAGGCUUGGCUUGAUGGACCGGUUGCAAGAGUGAAGGGCAAGUCGAAGGCUUUGAAGCGAGGGACCGCGUGUGACGGUGAAGCUUGAGCAAGACUUGGCGCCGAUGGACUGAGGCAACGGUGAAGAGCAAGUGAGGCCAAGAUCGAUGAACCAAUACGGUCACGUGAUGAUAUGAAGUGGAUCAUAUCAUUUGGUGAUUGGUUGGUGCAUGUGUUGCAUCAACAUUGGAGGAGAUGGAAUGGAAUGCGCAAGGCAAAGGUAUAACCUAUAGGGCAUUUCAUUUCACCGUUCUAAGUUGAGUAGAGAAGUGCUUGACCAGAUUCAGGAUAGAUAACCGUACUAUAAAGAGGGGAAAUCUUUAAUUGCAAUGGUUAUCUAGUGCCACUAAGUGUGAGUCUCAUUUGCAUAUACCUAGCGCUUAGUGACGUGGUGAGUUGCAUGAGAAAGCCUAUAAAAAUGUUUGUGAAAUGCUAACACACAUGCACAUGGUGGUGUACACUUGGUGGUGUUGGGACAUUUGCAAAGGAGAAGGUGUUGGAGUUGAUUUUGAUCAACUUGGAGAAGAGAGAGAGGCUUUUUGGUGUUCUCCAGACAUUAGGAUGGCUUUUAGAUUGAAAUACUGCUUUGAUCCAUUAUGAUUUGGAUUGAUUAUCCAUAUGGAUUGUAUAGCCCUCUGAGUAAGCUUUCCAAAUUGUCCAAGAUCAUCGAAUUCGGAGUUCGGAGCUAAAAGUUAGCAUACUAACAAGGUUUGAGUUGGUGCUGAAAAUGCAGGACCGGAAGUUCCGGUGGUACUUCCGGUGCCUGACCAGAAGUUCCGGUCAGCCUGACAGGAAGUUCCGGUUGGGCUGUGAGAGGUGCACUCACGUUUGAGAAAACACUUCCGGUGUCUGACCGGAAGUUCCGGUCCAUGACCAGAAGUUCCGGUCCACAACCGGAAGUUCCGGUCCAUGAACGGGAGUCCGCAUAGGAGCCUUUGCGCAUGCCCUCGUGUGUCAAGAUUCACUUCCGGUGUCUGACCGGAAGUUCCGGUGGGACUUCCGAUGGGUCCGAGUCUCUCACAACGGUCAGAUCUGCUAGGCCACAACGGUCAGAUCUGCUUGGACCGAGGCUCCAACGGUCAGAUCUGGUCGGACCAGAAGUUCCGGUCCCAAGCACCGGAACUUCUGGUGCUACACUAUAAAUACCGUUGGGAGCGUGAGCUGAGGGAUUGGGGGCAGCAGUUGCCUUCUUCCUUCUCACUUCUCUCCCAUUUGGAACGCAAGGAACUUAGGUUUCCUCCUCUCCUCUUUCUAUCCCAUGGAUUAGAGUUGAAAUCUCUUGGAGAGAUUGAGAGCCCUUUGUGGGUGUGGAUGAGAGGUUGAAGAUCCACGCUUUCCCCCUGCUCUCCCUCUCAUGCUUGGUGCUAUUUUGAGUGAGGGAGUGAGAGCCUAGUGUGUGCAUUCGGGAUUUGCAUUUGGUGGCACUAGGAAAUCUUUGUGAUUGGGGAUUUCUUGUUACUCUUGGUGAUUGCCAUCACCUAGACGGUUUGGUGGAUUGUGACUCCGUUUGAAGCACGCAAGAAGAUUGUGCGGUGCACCGGAGGAGGAUUUGUGAGGGGUACGGUGCUCACCCCGCGAGGAUCGCAAAGAGCAACUCUAGUGGAUUGCUUGUGGCUUGGAGGAUCCCCAUCUUGAGAGUGGAUGUGCGGCACCCGCUGAGGGUUUGGCUUUGGAUUGCCAAUUAGCUCGUGAUCCAUCAAGUGGGUGUAUCGCCACAACGAGGAUGUAGCUUGGUGGCAACCAAGUGAACCUCGGUAAAAAUCACCGUGUCAACAUUGUCUACUCUUCUCGAUGGUUUGCAUUCGCCUUACACAAGCUUGUAUUUACAUUCUUUAUAUACUUGUGCUUGUGUAGUUGCUUUUGUAAUUAGUUAAGCUUGUGUAGCUUGCUAGUUACCUUCUUGCUUGUGUAGCUAGAAGUAGUUCCCUUGCGUGGCUAAUUCGGUUUUUGUAACCUUGUUAGUCACCUUGCUUAGUUUGUGUAGCUAAGUAAGUUGCGCUCUCUAAUUUGGCAUUAGUUGCCUUGUUAUUGAGCUUGCUAGUGAGCUUAGGCUUCGUGCGCUUUGCCUCAGUAGUUUGUGUAGGAGCUCCCCCGGUUUGCAAAGUACUAGUUGCAUAGGUUCGUGUGACCUUGCUUCUAGAAUUGGUUAGGUGAGCUCUUGCUAAGGUAGCACCUUGUUUUCUUGUUUAAGAUCUUUUACAAGGUGUUAGAGAACUUAGAUAGAGGGGUGUAGGCUUGGCUAGGCCGAUAGAUUUAAUUCCGCAUUUGUUUCGGUUAGCCGGUGCGAUAAUAUUUUAGAAAGGACUAUUCACCCCCCUCUAGUCCGCCAUUUCGACCCUUCAAUUGGUAUCAAAGCUAGGUCUCUCAUUUGUUGUCUUCAUCGACCCGAGAUGAUGGCGGCUUAUGGGCUAGAUGUUGAGUGUCCACACACUUUUGAUGGCACACACUUUGCACGGUGGAAAAAUUGGAUGCAAUGCAAUUUUAUGUUUAUUUCUCCUCAAAUGUGGUGGAUGGUAGAUGUAGGCUUUUCUCAUGUGUUGGAUGAAGAUGAUCUAACUCAAGCACAAGAGAAAUGCCUAGAUCUAGACAUCCAAGCUACUAACAUCAUGUAUAGAUCUUUGGAUGAUUGCAUAUUUGGAGAGAUCAUCAACAUGAAGACCGCCCAUGAGAUUUGGAGUUAUCUCAAUAAGAAUAUGGGAUGGACUUCAAUAAUGAUGAUGUUGAUGAUGAGCCCAAGGAGAAGGUACAUGAGGAUGUUGAGCAUGACCACAAUUUGGUAAUUGUGGAAGAUUGCUCCACCUCGUGGUCAAGUGAUGAUGAUGAUGUAUCUACCACAAGCUCACUUGACAAGAUUGAUGAUGAUGCCACAAGUGAGGCAAAUGAUGAUACUACUUCGUGCACACUUGAUGGUGAAGAUGAUGGUUCAUGCUCAAGCCAUGACUAUGAUUCUACUACAAGCCCAUCCACUACACCACAUAGCUUCAUGUCACAAGGUGACACCAAGGUAUAUAAUGCUAAUGUGGUUGAUCAUGUUGUCUCAUAUGAUGAGCUUGUUAGUAGACUUGCUAGCAUGACCAUGUCAUUAGAAAUUGAGAAAGCUAAAACUUUGAAAUUGCAACAUGAAAACACAUUUCUAAAGACCACAUGUGAACAACAAAAGCAUCUACUCUAUGUUACUACUUGUUCACAUGAGGAGUUAAAAUUGGUUCAUGAGGAACUUUGUGUUACUCAUGAUAACUUGGUAAAUGAUCAUGCUUUUCUCACUAAGAAGCUUUCCAAUAAAGAAAUUAAAACUAGUGAGAGCUCAUCACUUGGGUCAAAUGAUCAAUCACAUAUUGUUACUAACCCUUGUGAUGUAGGCAAGAAGCACGUAUCCACCUCUUGCGAUGAUUUAUUAUCUAUGCCACGUUCUUCACAUAUAGAUGCUUGUUCUACUUCUAUGUCUUGUGAGACUAACCUUUUGAAGGAGAACAAUGAGCUCAAUGAACAAGUGAAGAAAUUGAGCAACAAGUUGGAGAGGUGCUAUAACUCAAAAGUCACCUUUGAGCAUAUAUUGAAGACUCAAAGAAAUUAUGGUGACAAGUGUGGCCUUGGCUUCAAGGAAAAGAUGACAAAGGGCAAAAGAAAGCAUGAAAAGAGAAAGCUUUCUCGUUUCAUGUGCUAUCGGUGCCAUGAAGUGGGACAUCUUGCUAAUGGUUGCCCAAACAAAGAGAAGCUCAAGAAGAUGAAAGAAAAAGAGAGGCUCAAGCAUGUCAAGUGCUUCAAGUGCCGCACUUGGGGUCAUCUCACCUCAAUGUGCCCAACCAAGAAAUUGGUGAAGCAACAAGAAGAGCCUCAACCUAAGCCACAAGUUGAGCAAGAGAAGUCACCCCAAGCUCAAGUCAAGAUCAACCAUCAUGAUGAUGACUUGAUGAUGAAGAAGAAGAAAACAAGAAGUGGUGGAAGAGCAAGGCAUCCAAUGCAAAUCCAAGAUGCUAAAAUGAUGAGCAAGGAUGAUGGACACUUUGCCUCAAGGUGUCCUACCAAGCUUGAGAAGAAGGCUCAAGCAACUUUCAAGAGGCAAGGCAAUGAGAAGCACAACAUGAGCAAGGAAGAAAAAGCUCAAGCAAAGAGAAUGUGCUACUCAUGCCGGGAAAGGGGACACAUGGCUCAUUCAUGUCCCCUAGGUAAUAAUUCUAAGCCUAUUUCAAUUGAUGAUAACAUUGUGCUUAGAAAGGAUGGCAAUGGUACCUCAUUGGUUGCUAUUGCAAAACAUCUCGCUACUCAUACUAAGGCUAUGCCUAAGUAUGUUGCACCUAACUUGAGAGGACCCAAACUAGUUUGGGUACCAUCAAAAUGUGGAUGAAUGUGUGUAGGUACCAUCGGCAUUGGAGGCUUGUUUCAAUUGAUCUUAUAUUAUUCAUCAUAUGAUUGAGUCAAGUAUUGAAGUUUUGAGAGGACCCAAACUAGUUUGGGUACCAUCAAAAUGUGGAUGAAUGUGUGUAGGUACAAUCGGCAUUGGAGGCUUGAUUCAAUUGAUCUUAUAUUAUUCAUCAUAUGAUUGAGUCAAGUAUUGAAGUUUAGUGCUUAUAUCCCAAUGCCAAGUCAAAACAAGAGAAGUCCAAGUGCUAUAACAUAUAAGUGCAAAUAUUCAAGUUGUGAUAAUUCAUUGGAUUAUUUGAUGGCUUACAAUUACAUGAGUUGAAGCUUGCAAAUUAGAUGAUCAUGAGCUAACAAAGAAUCUGCCAGAAAAGUGACAAGUAUUGGAUUGAUCUGUAGUCACUUCAAUUGAAAGGUCCUCAAGUUGGAAACAUGAUUAAAAGUGUUUGAGGCACCUAAGUUUGGUUUUAAAUUGAUCUAGAAGCAUGACAAGUAUUGAGUACAAGGUCAUUUGAUUGUGAAAUAUACUUGGUGUACACAUUUAGUACUCAAGAUUGAAGAUCAAGAUCAAACUCAAGACGAAGAUGAAGUUUAAGUUUUAGAGACUAUUAGAAAAUAUUUGGUAGAAAGAAAAGGACUUAAACAAGUAGAAAGAAAAGGACUUAAAGAAGGAUUCAUGGUUACUCAUCACAUUAAUUCCAUCACUUGAAUCAAUCAAAUCAAAGCAAUUCAAGUAAGUGUCAAGAAUGGUUCUUUGGAGAGAGGUCACUUCUCCCUAUGUGAGGGGCUUGCCGCCCGAGGAGUGGGUUAACCAAGUGUGGUCCUUGGAAGGCUAACAUCGAAGUGGUGAUCUAAAGGACAUUUGAGAUUCUUAGUUGAAGCAAUCAAAAGGAUUGAUCAAGAGAGCAAGCAACACCCAAAAGAGAGCUAGUCAUGCUAUUUCAAUUUGUAUUCUUAGUAGUUCUCUCAUGCAAGAAAUGAUCAAGAAAAGAUGAAGCAAGCCAACCACAACAAAAGAUAGUGCACUUAAUCAUAAGUGGUUCUCAAUUCAUAUGGAUGAAUAUUUGAUCUAUCAAUUGGUAUCUAUGAUUGGUCUUCACCAAGCUUAUCAAUUGGACUUCACAUUGCUAUUUGGAGCACAAAUUUGGAAUCAUAUUGACUAUCCUCUACUCCAACAUAGCAAAGGUAUCAUUGUAAUGUGCAUGAUCAUUUCAUCCCAUACUAGUAUGUGGUUAGUGCAUAUAGUACAUGCUUAUUAGGAUCAUGCAUUACAAAUGAAAUGUUUUAAAUUCAUAAGCCUACCACUAUUGCUUGAAUGACUAAUUGAUCUAGUGGUAUGUAUAUGAGUUUGUUCAUGAGCUAGUGAACCCAUAUACUUGAUCUAUUUUGAAUUGUUAACAAGUGACAAGUACAACAUUGGCAAGAUAACCCUUGAUGUGAGGUGUGAAAAAGCUUGUCGUUGGUUCAAACCGGACUUGGAAGCUUAGGCAAAUCAAUUUAGUUCAAUUCAACAAUUAGAAGCUCAUGGUAAUAAGAGUAUAAGAACAAGACAACAAUGCAAAAGGAUAUCUAGACUUAAAUGUUUCUUCAAUUGGUAUCCAACAAAUGAUACUCAUGACGAUGAUAGCAAAUGUUCAAGAUUGCAAACAAGUGGUUCCAUACUAGAAGACCUUCAAUUGGUAGAAGAUUUUGAUUUGGUAUCAGACAAGAUCUUUCAAAUGAUAUCACAUUUAUACAUAUGGUAUCUAUCAUACAAGAAGGUGGUUCCACAAGUGAUCCUCAACUUUAAGUGAUCAUCAAGCAAAGAAAGUUCCCUCACCAACAAGAUUGUCAAGUGAAUGACGCAUGCUAUGACAUAGAGGGAGGUGCCCCACAAAAUGGUAUCAAGGUCAAAGAUCCUAUGUGGUAUCUCAAGAGCAAUUCAAGUAAUGUCAUUCCAACACAUAUGGUGAUGUCCAUCAAAAAUUGAAAGAUUCAAGUCUCAACCAUCUACCCCAUAUGCAAUCCUUUGUCACAAUGUGAUACACACUUUUUCAAUUGGUAUGAAGUGAUUUAAUUGGUAUCACAUACCUUUUAUGGAAAUUGAUGACAAAGGGGGAGAAGUUGGAUCAAAGAUAUGAUCAUGGGAUAAGUUGGACAACAAAAGAUAUGUUUCAAGGGGGAGAGAUCAAACAUGGACAUGGACCAAGAGGGAGCAACAUUGAAGAAAAAAAGAUGGAUCAAAAUUCUUGAACACGAGAAGCACACAAGUAGGGGGAGCAAGCUCAUGAACAUUGAUUGUUUGCAUUUGAUUUGUGCAUAUUCAUGUGCUUGCCUGCAUUGCAUAAGUUUCUAAAUACAAUAUGAGUGCUUGUGUGGUGUAUGCUAGUUAUAGAACUUGAUUGAUGAUAUGAAAACUAGCAUGCAUAGGUUGGUAGCUAGACUUGUGUUCUUCAAGUAAAGACUAGACCCUUGCUCUUAAUGUUGAUCUCACGGGGUUUCUAGUGUUUUUGCUGUCUAGCUACUCAUGGUGCUAAGGAUGGUGUACAUCGAAUGCUUCAAAUGAUAUCGAAUUUGGUAUCGAGCUACAAAUGUUUACUCUAUACACCUCAGCACUUAGUAGGGUUUUAUGGUGCUUAUCCAAUUCAUGACAUAGAGCUUAAAUGUUGGAUAAGUAGCAUAAAAUCCAAAACAAGUUAGCAACUUACACUUGUGUGAAGUGCUAGCUUGAAAAAGCUUAAUUUCCAUAUCUUUGUAGAGUUGUCAUCAAUUACCAAAAAGAGGGAGAUUGAAAGGUCCUUGUUUGGUUUUGGUAAUUGAGUGACAACUUAGGUGGACUUAUAGUGUUUAUGUGAGAUACACAAGAGAUUAGUCCACAGGUGAUUAUGUGAUGAUGAAGGAGCUCAUUGCAUAUGAGACAUGACAUAGAGUCAUGUGACCAAGGUGGAGAAGAUCAAGAUGAGGCUUGGCUUGAUGGACCGGUUGCAAGAGUGAAGGGCAAGUCGAAGGCUUUGAAGCGAGGGACCGCGUGUGACGGUGAAGCUUGAGCAAGACUUGGCGCUGAUGGACCGAGGCAACGGUGAAGAGCAAGUGAGGUCAAGAUCGAUGAACCAAUACGGUCACGUGAUGAUAGGAAGUGGAUCAUAUCAUUUGGUGAUUGGUUGGUGCAUGUGUUGCAUCAACAUUGGAGGAGAUGGAAUGGAAUGCACAAGGCAACGGUAUAACCUAUAGGGCAUUCCAUUUCACCGGUCUAAGUUGAGUAGAGAAGUGCUUGACCGGAUUUAGGAUAGAUAACCGUACUAUAAAGAGGGGAAAUCUUUAAUUGCAAUGGUUAUCUAGUGCCACUAAGUGUGAGUCUCAUUUGCAUAUACCUAGCGCUUAGUGACGUGGUGAGUUGCAUGAGAAAGCCUAUAAAAAUGUUUGUGAAAUGCUAACACACAUGCACAUGGUGGUGUACACUUGGUGGUGUUGGCAUAUUUGCAAAGGAGAAGGUGUUGGAGUUGAUUUUGAUCAACUUGGAGAAGAGAGAGGCUUUUCGGUGUUCUCCGGACAUUAGGAUGGCUUUUAGAUUGAAAUACUGCUUUGAUCCAUUAUGAUUUGGAUUGAGUAUCCAUAUGGAUUGUAUAGCCCUCUGAGUAAGCUUUCCAAAAUGUCCAAGAUCAUCGAAUUCGGAGUUCGGAGCUAAAAGUUAGCAUCCUAACAAGGUUUGAGUUGGUGCUGAAAAUGCAGGACCGGAAGUUCCGGUGGAACUUCCGGUGGUACUUCCGGUGCCUGACCGGAAGUUCCGGUCAGCCUGACAGGAAGAUCAGGGUGGGCUGUGAGAGGUGCACUCGCGUUUGAGAAAACACUUCCGGUGUCUGACCGGAAGUUCCGGUCCAUGACCAGAAGUUCCGGUCCACAACCGGAAGUUUCGGUCCAUGAACGGGAGUCCGCAUAGGAGCCUUUGCGCAUGCCCUCGUGUGUCAAGAUUCAUUUCCGGUGUCUGACCGGAAGUUCCGGUGGGACUUCCGAUGGGUCCGAGUCUCUCACAACGGUCAGAUCUGCUAGGCCACAACGGUCAGAUCAGCUUGGACCGAGGCUCCAACGGUCAGAUCUGGUCAGACCGGAAGUUCCAGUCCCAGGCACCGGAACUUCCGGUGCUACACUAUAAAUACCAUUGGGAGCGUGAGCUGAGGGAUUGGGGGCUGCAGUUGCCUUCUUCCUUCUCACUUCUCUCCCAUUUGGAACGCAAGGAAGUUAGGGUUCCUCCUCUCCUCUUUCUCUCCCGUGGAUUAGAGUUGAAAUCUCUUGGAGAGAUUGAGAGCCCUUUGUGGGUGUGGAUGAGAGGUUGAAGGUCCACCCUUUCCCCCUCCUCUCCCUCUCAUGCUUGGUGCUAUUUUGAGUGAGGGAGUGAGAGCCUAGUCUGUGCAUUCGGGAUUUGCAUUUGGUGGCACUAGGAAAUCUUUGUGAUUGGGGAUUUCUUGUUACACUUGGUGAUUGUCAUCACCUAGACGGUUUGGUGGAUUGUGACUCUGUUUGAAGCACGCAAGAAGAUUGUGCGGUGCUCCGGAGGAGGAUUUGUGAGGGGUACGGUGCUCACCCCGCGGGGAUCGCAAAGGGCAACUCUAGUGGAUUGCUUAUGGCUUGGAGGAUCCCCAUCUUGAGAGUGGAUGUGCGGCACCCGCUGAGGGUUUGGCUUUGGAUUGCCAAUUAGCUCGUGAUCCAUCAAGUGGGUGUAUCGCCACAACGAGGACGUAGCUUGGUGGCAACCAAGUGAACCUCGGUAAAAAUCACCGUGUCAACAUUGUCUACUCUUCUCAGUGGUUUGCAUUCGCCUUACACAAGCUUGUAUUUACAUUCUUUAUAUACUUGUGUUUGUGUAGUUGCUUUUGUAAUUAGUUAAGCUUGUGUAGCUUGCUAGUUACCUUCUUGCUUGUGUAGCUAGAAGUAGUUCCCUUGCGUGGCUAAUUCGGUUUGUGUAACCUUGUUAGUCACCUUGCUUAGUUUGUGUAGCUAAGUAAGUUGCGCUCACUAAUUUCGCAUUAGUUGCCUUGUUAUUGAGCUUGCUAGUUAGCUUAGGCUUCGUGCGCUUUGCCUCACUAGUUUGUGUAGGAGCUCCCCCGGUUUGCAAAGUACUAGUUGCAUAGGUUUGUGUGACCUUGCUUCUAGAAUUGGUUAGGUGAGCUCUUGCUAAGGUAGCACCUUGUUUUCUUGUUUAAGAUCUUUUACAAGGUGUUAGAGAACUUAGAUAGAGGGGUGUAGUCUUGGCUAGGCCGAUAGAUUUAAUUCCGCAUUUGUUUCGGUUAGCCGGUGCGAUAAUUUUUUAGAAAGGACUAUUCACCCCCCCUCUAGUCCGCCAUCUCGACCCUUCAGGCAUGCCAGCUGAUUUGACCCAUCAAUCGACAAAGGUGGUAACUCGAACACUUUGGUCCCGACAACAGCGAUGCGCUCGGAUGUCACGGCCAAGAGGUGUUCACGCGGAACAUGAGAACACGUCGAGUUUGACUCGACGAAUUUCUAAGAACUCUUAGUAAAAAGAAAAUAUGACGAACCUUCAUUAACCCCAUCAGCACCAACCUUCAUCGGCAACUCCCCUGUAGACUAGCUACCAUUGCCCUAUCUGCCGAUCUACACUUCAUUAACCCAGGUGCAUAUCCAAAUAUACGUGUCCAAAUACGGUAUCAAUAGGUAUUUUAUGACUAUAUAAAAUAGACUCGAUAAUGGCCUAGGUAUAGUUACCUGAUAACUAGGGGAUGCUCCUCCCCCAAGCUAGAUGUUUGCAAUACUUCGUGUCGAUGAUCUUCAGAGCGAUCUAACCGGUAGUGCUCCUGGUGGUUGCCACUAAUAGACUCUCUCCUUGUCAUAAUGUUGUUUCUGCAUAAUUACACUCCAAAAAGAAAACCAAAACUCGAGGCUCGAAUUUAAUAGGUUAGCGGUUAGCCAGUAAGUGAUUGAUUGUUCUUUGAGUUGAUUUGAAUUGACAGAUUCUAGCAAGAUUCUUUUUUUUUAGGAUUUUCUAGUUUAAUUAUGUAGAAAUUAAAUAUGCGUGCAUGAUAUAUAUUUUUGUACUUUUAUGCCUCCACAUAUUUAUUCUUAUGGGGCUUAGGUUUUUUUAAUGCAAGAAAGUAAAUACAGAAGCUAUUAUUAUUAUUAUUCUUUAUGUCACCACAGUAAAUAUUCCUACAGGGUUACCAUAAGUUUAUUCCUGUGGAGCUUUUAAUAUUUUAUGAUGCAGUAAAUGAAGGAAUAAAGAUUUUUAUUUUAUUUUAUUUUAUUUUUAAUAUUUAUGAAGAUGAAUAUGUAAGGUAAAUUUAUUAAUGUAGAUAGAAAUAUUAAGUAAAUAUAUAACUAUCAUAUUACCUUAUGGCAAGAAAUCUUUUCUUAAAAUUUAUCGAAGGACUUCUUCUUCCACUCUUGUGUAUCUCUCCAUCUUGAAAGAUUGAGGUCUUGUUAGUUGCAUACCUCUAGUGAUAAUGAUGUCACCUUUGUUCUUUGAUUUGGUCAGGUUGAAGUAGUGCUUUAAUAAUAGCUGGCAGCAUCUUGCUCAGUGUGCAUGCUCAUAGAACUUUCACUUGUAGAAUUAAUAAACUUUGCUUGAUGUGUUGUCCAGUUUGCAAAACUAAGGUAGAGAUCAAGUACAUGUGCUCUACUGGUGGAAAAACACCAACAGAACCAAAUCUAUUUCUUUAUUUAUUUUUCUCCAUCCUUAGGCACAUUAAACAAGUUAAAGUUGUGUUACAUGAUUUAUUUAUUUAUUUAUGAGUGGUAAGAUCAAAAUAUUAACCAUUUAAUGUUGCAUUUAAGUUCACAUGACAGAAAAGAAUGAAAUUGCUUAACCAAUGGAAGGAUCUCUAUAUAAAUUUUCAAAUAAGUAUGACUAUCAUCUUCCCAAGAUUGAAUAUAAUAUUUGAACUUGAUUAGUUAAGACUGAGAUUAAGAGAAUGGUGCCAUGAACAAUUUUAAAGAGUAAAGCAUAUUGAGUUAAUCAAUUUAAGUUGUAACUCUAAUAUGUUUGUGUCUUCACUUAUGUGCAUACCAAGAUCAAGAGAAGAAAGUGACCACUUACCUUAGAAUAUUACCUUCAUUAUUAGAGCGUGAUGGCACUAAUUGAUGGAGGGUAAAUGACUGGUGGUCCUUUGUCUUGCAUCUUGAGUUGUUCAUAGACAUCUUGUCUCCUCUGUUGCACUCAUUCUUUUGUCAUCUUUUGCUUCUUUAAUCUGUUGACUCUUUUCACUCCAGUCAUUAUUAUGUCUGCAAUAGAUUAGUGGACAACACAUACCAAAGGAGUGUACAAGUUUUUAACAUAGGUUGCUUGUCCAGUAUUUUAUUAUGUCUAUGCUAAUAAAAAAGAUAUUAUUGGUAUUGUUUUAGCAUAGAUCAUAUUUUAUACAGGCAUGGCUUGAGGUAAAGUAACUUGUAGUAGAGGAUAAAGUGAAUGAAUCAUUAAUGCUCGUAGUUCUUUUAUUCAUGAUGAAUGAGUUGUGUCUUCUUCUACAAAGUUAUUAAAGUUCAACAUGUCCCUGUCUCAUCUCUAAUUCGAAUUUAUCUCAUGACUCACCCAAAUUAAAUUUAAAACUUUUCCUGUAGGGGUUAGUCCACAAAAUAUCCAAUGUCUACCAUAAUAUAUUAUCAGUUCAAAAAUCAACAUAGACACCGCAUCUAAUUUGAUUUAGGAAGACAUUUUAACCUAAGCACCAUGCUUAAUUCAAAAGGUGUAUGAAAAUACUCCAAACCUUAAGGAUACUAUAGCAAACAAAGGUAAGAUGAAAGUUUAUAGAGUAUUAUCCAAAUGGAGACGAAAGAGCAUGAUUAGCAAAUUGAAUAAAGGUAGAGACAACCAAUAUUAGCAACAUAAGAUUUUCUAAAUAAGGCCAUUCCCCCAAGCUAGAAUCUUGCAAAGUAAAUGUAAGCUUGAGUGGAUGUAAUUCAAAAUUGCAUAAUGAUAGGUUAGUGAUACUUGGUGCUGCCAUUAUUAAUUUUCUCACUUCAAACCUGAAAUGGUUAGUGACAAGAAUAUUCACAGGAAUAUUUUGACAAUUAUAUUUCUAUGCUAAAGAUGCAAGCUUAAUUCAUUUUUAAGAGUAGUUAUUUUAGAACACAAAGUUGUUCUUGGGAAACCUUUUGAUUAUUAUAAUUUGAGUUGGUGAGGUGGUUUCCUCUAGAACAUUAGCCUUUGUGCACCUUAUCCAGAUUACAACGAGAUCUAUAAUAUUUAUGACAAACAUAUGCAUCUACAUCCACCCUCUUAAUUAUUUUAUGAAUAUGUAGAAUAAGGGGGCUGAGGAUCUCGUGUGUGAUAAUAUUAGAGACUAAUUGAUUCAGGAGAUUUCUCAUAUGAGCAUGGGUCUGAUAGGGUGUUUAAUGAAAUAAUUCACAUGCUCGACAAUAUAAAACUCCCUUUUCAAACUACAAGGGUGUCUCUUCAUGGUUGUCUAUAGGCAAUAAGUUGUAUCUAUUAUUUCAUGCCUAUGUCAUUUAUUGGAUGUUUUAUUUUCUAGGAUUUCCCAUGAAUUGAUCUCUCCAAGAUUGGUCUCUUCUAAAGCUUUUUCUAAACUUGGGUGAGUUUUGUUUAUCAAAGAAAUUGAUUUACGCUCAACAUUUGAAUUUAGACCAAGUUUAGAUGCUAGUUAUAAAACUUCAUCUUCUUCCAUCCAUUCUUUGACAAUAGCAUAUGUAUUUCUAAUAUGUUCUACAUGUUCCAGCUAUUGUCGUUGCUCUUCUUGGGUAUUCCUAUAAUUUUCAUGACUCCUAUUCUUAGGAUGUCUUGAUGGAUUUCUAGGGUCAUUAUGAAGUUUAGUAGAAGGAGCAUAAAAAGAUUUAUUAGGGUCAAGGAUGGAUUUAGAGAUGGGUUCAAAGACAUUUAAUAGGCAUAGAAGGGGAGAAGAUAGAAUUUAUUUCUAAGUGCCCUGGCUCUCCUUCUAUGGCAUCACUUGGCAUGCCAUCCUUGAAUUCUUCCCAAUAUCUUUUUAGGAAGGAAAAGAAGUUGAUGAUGCUUCUUUUUUUCAAGAUACUCUUCUAAGAAGAUCUGAUAUGCAUUGAUUUAGGAGCAUCUUAGCUAAUUGGAUGUCUAGAUCAUCAAAGUGGAAUUUUAAAGGUUUAGGAUUGAUAGCUAAAUCUUAGGAAUGAGAUGAUUUUGUUUUAGCUACCAAGACUUCUGUUUUUAGUUUGGAUAAUAAAUCCUUUUCUUCUUUUGGGGAGUUCAGAAAUAGCCAAAGCAACUUUUUGAGAAUAUUCUCUUAGUAGGACCCAAAUGUUGAAUAAAUAUGGGGCCUAGCAAACCAAGGUCAGGAUUAAUGAUCCCAUGAUAUAUUUGAGAAGGGUUUAUUAUAUUAUGUAGACAUGGGCAUAGCUUAUAGAUAUUAUGAUAAGGUUUAUGCUUUAAGCUUUUGCACAUGCCAUAAAGAUAGGUGUGGAAUUUAAAGAAAUAUCCAUAAGGAUAAACACAAAAAAAAUGAAGAGUCUGGGAUAAAAAUAGGAAAAGAUAAAAGUAUUAUACAAGAUUAUGCUAAACUAAUUCAAAAUCAGCAAACUGUUCCCCGGCAACGGCGCCAAAAAUGUUUGUUGGUAUAAAUUAACUGCACUCCAUUAAAUAAGUUUUAAGUAGGAUUAUCCGCAAGCGCACAAAUAUCAUACCAGUGUCACAUUUUACCCGGAGGUUUUAAAUAUUGUAUCCAGAGGGAACAGUUGUGAUGAUGACAAAGUAUAUAGACUUAACCCUACAAUUAGGCUAGAUCAUAUCAAGAAAAGGGAAAUAGAUAAUGCAUUCUGGUUCUGACUCCGAUAAACUUUGUAUAAUAUCGUCUUAUUAGACAAGUAACCCGAAUAGGAGAAGAAACAGAGUAAUCUCCUACUAGACACCUAUAAGCCUAUCAGUCCUAUCAACGGGAUGUGGACUAUAGAGGAUUCAAUGCAGCUAGAAAGUCACCUGCACGAGCUACCACAGUCUAGCUAAUCAGGGGACAUUCACAAGUAAACCUAGCCUAGGCACCAUGCCUACACUACGAAAUACUACUUCAACCAAGUAAUGACCAAGAUCAAAGCACUCAAUAUGAGAUGUGAACCAAAGAACGAAUAAGAACAAGUUGCUUACUUAAAUCGGAAUGGUAAGUACAGAAGUACCUCAGAAUGCAGCUCCAGGCGAGGGAACUAGAUCUAGAGGAAUACAGCCACGAAGAAGCACCGACAGGCCAAAACUCCUCCAGAAUCUCUACCCCUCUACUCAAUCUCUCUAAUCUCUAAACAAGACUAGAUCUAGAAGAACUAGUCUCUCCUAAUUGGUACAUCAAGAUGAACUAGAACUAGAUGAAGUAGAACUAGAUCAACUAGAGGGACCCUAACCCUAAUUAUGUAGAGAAUAUGAAGCACUGAGGUGUAGAAUGCCUCUUGGGGGGAGCCUUGGGCAUCAUUAUAUAGGCCGAGGUGGAGUAGGGGGCAAGGAACCGCCACAUCAUCAAUCCGCGUCUUCAUCUUGUGUGCACCGUCGGAUCAAAUCGUCUUAAAAUCGACGUAGGGAUACUUUGCUUGGCUUCCAAGGAGGCGUGGGAGGAAGACUCCAGAAGGCGGUGCCCAUUGGACAACUUAGGGCGCCGACCAGCCCCAAGUUGGGCUGGCCGGCCCACCUUUUCUCCUCUGCGGGUCUCGUUCCUUCGGGUGUCUUCUAGACCCUUCCAUAGCCUGAUGACGAUGUUUUCCGCCGCGGAUAAGUUUCGUGGUAAUUAUGCACUAGAAUCCCUCUUUUUAGCUUUUCUAAAAUUCACCCUGGAAAAUACAGAAUAUGCAAAACUCGUGGCAAUUAUCAGAUAAAACCCUAUACUAGUGUGUUUUCAUGUGUUCCCUUGUGUCUAAAGUUCGAAUAAAAGUUGACAUUAUCGACCGUCAACACUUCUCGAACCUUCUAGACUCCAGAAUAGUGUAUUUUCAUUUGAAAUUCAUAUUCCUUCAUCCAAGACUCCAAAAAGACCAAAUGAUAUAUGGAUUUCGAUUGGCUCAACGAGCCCAUCACGAUGGUGUAGUCCAAUUCAUCAUUUGAGAUACUUUUAUUCUAUGAUUAGUUUGCCUUCAGUUCUUUUCCUGUGUAACCCCUACAAAACAUAGAUGCACCAAAACUUGUGGAAUUUGUAAGUUCAAUCCCCUAGACCUAUGUUGGUGAGCAUCUUUUUGAAGUUAUAGAAGUUAUAUUGAUAGUUAAAAAUAGGAGUUAACUACCAUCAACAACAUGCUUAAAUGACAUAAGACUUGAGAUAUGACAUUUAAAUGUCAAAAGUGACACAUAGUUCAAUUCCUAGAUAUGUUUAUGCCUAUGGGUACAAAUAAUAUAGGGAUGCAUUUUGACUAAGUUGUUGAUAUGGAUAUAGUUCUAGGCUCAUUAAUCACACCAACUUUGUUCAAUGUACUUAUAAAUUUAUUUUGAAGAUGACAUAAAACCAUAGUGUUAUUCACUCCUCAUUGGCAAGAAAAUUCCUACCAAAGCCAUAUACACCUACUGUCAAAACAACCCUUUGAGUGCAACUAGAAUAUGUAAUGAGUUUAGUCAAAUCAUGUUGACCCUAGUGAGAGCUUUGUCAUAAUACUAAAGAUCAAGAUCAUACACACACAUACCACAUCUUCAUGUUACUUCUACACUGAAGUACGCAAAACCAAUGCUUUCCACAUCCACUAUAUAUAGAUGCUCCAUGUUUUUAAAAGUCACAUUAUAUCUCUCUGUAUGCUUUAUCAAAGAGACACAGGGCUAUGCAAAAAAGUGAUGGGCACAUGAAGGUCCGUACAAAAAAGCUAUCCAUGUCUCAAAUAAAUAGAGAGAAAUUCUAUCAAAUAGAGGAGCAUCUUAGUUCAUCAUUGCCACACACUUGCACAUCUUGAUCUCAGACUAUGACACUCCUCUCCUUGGAUCCUUGCUUUGACUUAACAAUAAGUACAAUGCAAAGUACGCUACCUUGUUUUCCCUACCAAGCUCCUCAUAUGCCUAAUAGAUGUAGGAUGUAACAAGAAGGGCAAACAUCUAUGCCUUGGUGAGGAUUGCUAUACACUCUAAGUGAUUCAAGAGUACUGGAUGAGGAGUUAGAAUAACCUAUGUGCUUUCUUUCUAAACUAUCAUAAAAACUCUAAGUACCAAGGAUAGAAUUUUGGGAGAUUACUUUGCCUUAGAACUGUUCCUUUUAUCAACUUCUAAAGAAAAUUUGCUAGACACUACCACAAAACCCAUUUGCAUGAACUAUGUCUAGAAUGGACUUAAGUUCACUAUGAUCUUUAACUUGUCAUUGUUCAAUUCUCUAACCUUUACUCCAGGACGACGAAAGACUCAAGUGUGGGGGGUCUUGUUGACGGUAUUUAUGCCUUGUUUUCCACCAUCAUAACCGUCAACAUUUCAGUCAUAUUGGGGAAGAAUCCACCAAACAACUAGUGACAUAGGUAUAGAUAACCUGGUUCCACAUGUACAUAUCAUUAUUUGUAUGUAGGUGCUCAAUCAGGUACUUUCUAGGGUCUUGGAGCUCAAAGUGGAAGAAGUGGCAAAACUACAAGUUUGCUACAAAAAUAUAAAUAUCACAAGAGCAUAGAUCAAGGGGAAUGGAGCAAGGCUGACACCUUGGCCCCACAAUUGGAAUGUCCCCAUACCUGAUGCACUCUGGGCAUACUGGACAGCAUACAAGACACCAAUUGGAAUGUCCCCAUACCAAUUGGUGUACGGGAAGACUUGCCACCUACCUGUUGAACUAGAAUUCAAAGCACAUUAGACCAUAAGGAGAUGGAAUAUGGACCUAGAUGUCGCUGGAGAUCAUAGAAGAAUGCAAUUAUUAGAAUUGGAAGAAUGGCAAGAGAAUGCAUAUCACAAUUCAAAGAUCUACAAGGAGAGAGUUAAAAGGUGGCAUGACAAGAGGAUCAAGAAGAAAGAGUUCGCACCCGGAGAUAAGGUAUUACUUUUUAAUUCCAGGGUGAAGCUUGUCGAGCAUGGAAAACUCCAGAGUAAAUGGGAAGGACCAUUCAAGGUAAUCAAUUCAUCAUCUCACGGAGCUAUCACACUUUGAAAUAAUGAAGGUAGGUUAUUCAAGGUAAAUGGUCAACGUCUUAAUUAUUUUUAGAGCCCAAUAAAGAAUUAGAAGAAAUAGACGUGAUCCAUUUUUACAUCCCCAUGGAGAACUAGAGCCCGACCUUUUUAAUCUGACAUUUUUGGACCACGUAUAUAUUUUUCGAAUAAAUUUUGAAUCUAGAAGCAUGCUCGAGGAGGCGGGUCCUCAGAGGAGCCAGGCACAGGGCAGGCGCCCUGAUGAUGAGGGCGGGCGCCCAGCCCCUGUCUCCCCUCGGCUCUGGUCUCCUCCGUCGCGAUAAACUCAUCUAUGGUAAUCCCAAUAAUCACGCGGAUGGUUUGUUACGCACGCAUGGCGGCGGGAGUAACCCGAGCAAACCCUAGAAGCACUUUUUGACCCCUAUAUAAAUAGACCCCUUACGUCAGCUUUCAACACCAAUUCAUUGAAGCCUUCUCUCCAUCCUCAAUUAGAGCUUGCUUAGUCCCUCGCUAGUCCAAUGGCCAACGAGUUCCACGAUGAUUGGGAGGUCGUCCCCUACGACCUCAACAAGAAGCCCAACGCAGACCCCGACGACUACGCUCUCGUCCCGGCCAACACAGAGCGACAGCUAGCAGCCUUGCCAUCACGUCAGCACAGCUCCACCCAAUCCUACUAUGCCCAACCAGUUCUCACCGUGCCACCGCAGCCCCUACUUCUCAAGGGGCCGUCAGCUAAGAAGGAGGCCACCAUCAAGGUGCCAGCCGGCACAAGGAUCCUGCCACCCAGGCCCAAUGAGCGGGUCGUCGGAGUCAAGACCAACUAGAGCGGCGAGAUCAGCAGCGUCCGCUACACCAUGGAGGAGGAGAGGCCUUACUUCGAGGGGAUUAGAGCAGCCAAAGUCCGAUUCAUCCCUCCAAAGGAAGCCCUGAAGCACGCCCUCAACGCUCUCGAGACACCUCCUAAGCGCCGCAAGACUAUAGUAGAUGUAGAUGAGGAUGUUCGUAGGCUAGACAAGAUCAUCAUAGAGCUCCAAUCCUCGGUUAACUCCAUCAAUAGGCAGCUCUCUAACCAGAAUACCAUUAUACUAGAUCUUAAGCGUGAUCUUGCUAAUGCUAAUAAGAAGAUUAGGGAGUUAGAGCGCCGCUAAGUUAUCUAGAUUAGAUCUUGAGGUAGUGUAUCUUAGUUAUUCAUCUUUAGAUUCGGCUUAAAUCUAUUAUUAGCUUCAGUUCGUUAUUAGUCAGUUGUAAUAAAUGCCUCAAGAUUAAUAAAGAUUAUUAUUAUGUCUUGUGUGUCUCUACUUUAUUUUUUAUGCAAGUAAGCAUAAAACAAGUAUGGGGGAGAUCCCCCGACAUGCCGACUACGCCACUCCACGAUUCAGGUACAUACUCUGCACACUUUACACAUACACAUAUAUCUUGGUUCGUGCAGAAUAUUGUCUCCGACAUGAUAAAUUAAAAAGAUUAAAAUGUUUCUAAUCAUGAUCAAUCUCACUCUGUGAUAUUUCUUGAAAACUUGCAGUUAUCAAAAAAAUUAUUUUAAAACCCUAUGUUACUUAAGUCACUAUGGAAUGUAGAGUUUGAAUACCUUAUUCUUGAUAUCGUUGUUGCUUGGAGAAUUUAUUUUAAAAUCUUCAAAAAUUCUAGCACCAUCCUCAGUAUUUUAUAUGCCUGCUAAACCUGAAAAUAUUAAUUAUGAUAAUUAUAAAAGCUAUCUACUUUGUAUUGAGUUUGUUCAAAACAAGUUAGACCCUUGUUGAGAGAUUUAUCAUGCUCCUAAGAUCAAGACAUUUAUUCAGAAAGAUUCACUCUUCCGAAGUAUUAUUGCGUUAGAGGCAUGGGCUAUGCAUAAAUAUGAAUAUUUUGAGGAAAUAAAAAGGAGAAAGUGCUCGACAACCUCGUAGAAAAAAUAGAGAAGUGUCUGGUAGUAGAAUUAGGGGUACCUCGGUAUCCACCAAAAAAAGAGAAGAGAGAAGAAGAGAAAGAAAAUGAUAGCCCAUGGUCCCUCUAAUAAGCAAUAUGCCAGUAAGAGUUGACAACAUUUUAAUUUUAAAAGUCUUUGAUCUAAGAGUAUGGCAUUCCUCUCCUCGGAUCCCGUUUUGAUCAGGCAAUAAAUGCAAGGUAAGUAUGCUUGAGAAUUUCUACAAAUUAAAACAGCCUCAGUGAGAUAUACAAAAGAUAAAUGAGUGAUCUGAGAGAACCUAUAAGGAUAAAGGUAUGCUAAAUUUCUUUUUCAAAAAAAUAUAUAUACAAAAACUCCAAGUAACAGGGUUGAGAAGAAGAAAGGAUCUCUACUCUUGACCAUAUAUUUCCCUGACACCACAUCCUGCAGGUAUGAAGAGAAUGCUUUACAAUGUUUUAACCCCGGAUAUUUUUUCUAAACCAUCCUUUUCUCGAGGACAAGUAAAAGCCUAAGUAUGGGGGUGUUUGUUGACGGUUCUUAAGUAUCAAUUUUAAUCAUGAAAUAAAUAAGGAAAAGGUCCAAUAUACAAGCAACACCUAGAAUUAGGGUUUGAUCUGACAGAAUUCUAUGAGUUUUGCUGUUUAUCUAUUUCUGCAGGGGGUUAUCAGGAAAUAUGGAAGAAAGGCCCACACGUCGGGUUUACAUAGAGAUAUUAACUUGUGCACCAAUUUUUUUCAGUCUAGAAGGUUCCAGAAGCCACACGAACGAGCGGGAGGCCGAGCGGGCCCAUAGGCAGGGCGCCCGCCCAACCCCCCUAGGCGCCCGCCCUCCACUGCUGGCCAAUCAGCACGAGUCUCCCAGAUUAUGCUCCACCGCCUUUGAGGAUCAAGGAGAAUAGUUCAAUCAAGGUCGGUUUGAUCCGACGGCCCAAAUUCAUUUGACAGGGCUAUAUAAGCAAGGCCUCUGGCCCUGGAGAAAUCAAUCCCCAUUAUUCAUUAGCAUAUUUUUCAGAGACGAUUCAGAGAGAGAGGUUCCUUUAGGGUUCCAACCUCAUAGGGCUUAGCAUACAAUGUGAGAGUAGAAUUAGUUCUACUAGGUUGAGAGAGAUAGAGUGGAGGUGUAGAUCGGAGGAAGCCCGGCCUGUCGGUGUCUACUCCGAGGUUGUACCUGCGGGAUCAAGUCUCCUAACCCAAGGCUUGCUCCUAGGAUUCUUCAGUAUUUCGACUUCCAAAUUCUAGUAAGUUCUUUGUUUUAUUGUUCUUUGGUUUAUGAGUUCACUUUGAUCUCUUCGCACAGAGUUUAGAGUAAUCAUCUCUAGCGUAAACUUGGUGUUUGGGCUAGGAUACUCAUAGAUAUCCCCUGUCUGGCCGGACCGUGGUAGUAGCAAGGAACGUGAAAUUUCCGAGUUACCUUUGUAGCCCAUAAUCCCGUUAUUAGGUUCGAUAGGGUUUAUAGGUGUGGGUCGAACAUCCUCUGUGGUGUCUAGAUUCCGUGAGCCUCCCCAACAGAACAGUAGAUCAUCCUUACCAAGGUUAGAACGAGGGUGCAGUUGAAGUCUUCUCUAUACAUUACUCACAUCGAAUCAUAGUGGUUGUAGCCUAAAUGUUAGUAGUAAUAGAUUUGGUUAGUCAGAUGCACGCUUUAUCCUAGUGGUAAAAAUAUAAAUACGAUACUCUGGAUAACAUCUCGGGUGAAGUGCUCACCGAUAUUCGUGCGCUUGCGGAUUAAUUCCUGAUUGCGUUACCAAAUAUCAACACGACACAUCCACUUCACUCCACCGACAUGGCAAACCAUCUAGAAGGCUUGGGUGGGUCCACUUGUUAGAUCCUAGGGUCGGUCGAACCCUGCAUGUGGGCCACCCAAUGGCGAUUUGCUGCACCAACAUCAAACACAUUCAACACAUGCUAGAAAUCUUGAGCCAUUGAUGCAAUGAUGGUUUGGAGAUCGGUUUGAUCCUAUGGUGCAUGAUUGAAUUCUCCUGGAUCGAUGAUGUGGCAAUGGAGUAGCCCCUAGUCCAUCUCCCCCUAUAAAUACUCCCUAGUGCUUCACACAUAGCAUGUAUCAUAUAUAGGAAGAAACACUACAUUUGUAGCUUUAGUGUGAGAAUAGAGGGAGAGAGUGAGGAGCUCCACGGAGGAGUCCAGGCCUAUCGGGAGUCUUCUCCAAGGCACGCCUCAGCAGAUGUGAGUCUUCUUAUAAGUCUUACAUUUGAGUCUUUUAUAGCAUUUAAUACUCCAGACUAGUUCUUUGCGUAUAAACCUCUUACUGUGCACACUGUUUUACUUUGGUAAAUUACUCAAAGCAUUUGACCAAGCUUAGAGUAGUAAGAUAGUGUAGACGUGGUGUCUAGACUAGAUCUUAUUAGUGUGGGUUGCUUGUUGCACUACAAGACACCUAGAGCGAGAGUGGCAAUCCUCUCUAGAUGGAAAGUUCCUUGUUAGUGUGUUAGACAAGUUAACUACGGUGAAAGUUGGGCUGAGUAUAGUGCUGCCUUGGUAGGGGAGGAGAUGUAAAACCUCUUUAACUCGAUCUACCAUUUCGGUUACUGCUCCAACUAAGGGAGGAGGUGGAAAACCUCACUUUACAUAGAGUAUCCUGACUAGAUAUUAGUGCUAGUUAGACCUCUCUAUAUAUAACCUUUACCCUUUGAUCACAUCCUAGCGAUCUAGAACCUAGUUAGUUCGCUUCACGUUUCCUGUGGAAAAUACGAUACCUAGAAUACUCUAGGUGAAGGCUACAUUGACUACCGUACACUUGCGGUGUAUUCGUUUGCCACAUCUGGUGUCAACACUCAUCUAGUCCUUGCUUAUUUUAGAAAUCUCAAGAUUCAAUUGGUCUCUACCAUUUUACCACACACGAGAUCUUCAUCCCCCUUACGCUUCAUGAUCCCAAAGAUUUUAAAAGUGAGGUUGUAGGUACAUAUGUUCAUCAUAAAUAAUUUAGAUCUGGUUGUGCUGGCCUUGUCUUGAGAUUUAUGCACACAAGUUGGUGUUGGAUGGGAAACCACUUUACCAAAUCACAUUUUAAAGGUUUCCUGAGAACAAGCCUUGUGUCCCAAAACAAUCACUUUUUUGACCAUAACAUGAGUGUUCAACUAUUUGUUGUAAUGCCCUUGUGAUGUGAGCAUAAUGAUAUAAUUGAAAAUAUUCCUUCCGGUAUCUUGUUAGUAACCUUUCUAGGUUAGAGCAGAAAAGGACAAAGGAAUGACAAACGUAGGUAUGUCUAACCAAUCAUCAUGCAACAAUAAUUGAAUUGGUCCAAUCUUGAUUUUUGCAAAAUUCAAGCUUGGGGGAAUUACUUCCAUAAAAACAUCUCUUGCUAUGUUGCUACACUGUCUUGAUUGUCCCUACCUUUAAGAGAUGCUCAACCUACUAAAAACACCAAUCAUGCUUUUUCAUCUCCAUUUUGAGUAAAUCUCUAUAACGCUUACUGUUGACGGUUCUUAAGUAUCAAUUUUAAUUAUCAAAUAAACAAGAGAAAGGACCAAUAUGCAACCAACACCUAGAAUUAGGGUUUGAUCUGACAGAAUUCCACGAGUUUUGUUGUUUAUCUGUUUCUGCAGGGGGUUAUCAGGAAAUAAGGAAGAAAGGCCCACAUGUCGGGAUUACAUAGAGAUAUCAACACACCGCGCAAUUUUUCCACCAUCUAGAAGACUCCAGAAGCCACGAGACCGAAGCGGAGGCGAAACGGGGCCAGGCCCAGGGCGCCCGCCCUGAGGACCUGGGCGCCCGCCCCCUGCUGGAGCCAGAUCAGGACUCUCUUCGCUCGGGAUAUUCCACCGACCUAUUGGAUCAAGAAAAACAUAUUACCACCUCGCCUAUCGACCCAAAAAUGCAUAGAAGGGGAGGACUAUAUAAGGAGACCCCCUUGGCCCCUGGAGAAGAUAUGAAGAAAUUAUCAUAGAGACUGAGGGGUGCCCUCGAAGGAAAACCUCUUCUCUAAUUAAUAUUUCUUUUUAGGCUUAGCAAUCAAUGUAAGGUACAAAUAGAUCUUCUAGUUUCUACUAGAUUGAGAGAGAUAGAGUGGAGGUGUAGAUUGGAGGAAGCCAGGCCUGUCGGUGUCUACUCCAAGCUUGUACCUGCGGGAUCAAGUUCUCCUAACCCGAAGCUUGCUCCUAGGAUUCUUCAGUAAUUCGACUUCUAAAUUCUAGUAAGUUCUUGUUUUAUUGUUCUUAUGGUUUAUGAGUUUACUUUAAUCUCUUCGCGUAGAGUUUAGAGUAAUCAUUGCUGGCGUAAACGUGGUGUUUAUGCUGGGGUACUUAUAAAUAUUCCCUGACUAGCUGGACCGUGGUAGUAGUGAGGAACAUGACAAUUCCGAGCUACCUUUGUAGAUCACAUCUCGUUAGCAGGAAGGAUAGGGUUUAUAGGUGCGGGUUGAACAUCCUUUGUGGUGUCUAGAUUCCGUUAGCGUCCCCAUUAGAACAGUAGAUCAUCCUUACCAAGGUUAGAAGGAGACUAUGGUUGCAGUCUUCUCUAUUUAUCACUCACAUCGAAAGACAUUCUUUGUGCCUAAAGGUUAGUAGUAAUAGACCAGUUAGUCAGAUGCACUCUUUCUCCUAGUGGUAAAAAAAUAAAUACGAUACUCUGGAUAACCUCCCGGGUGAAGUGCUCACCGAUAUCCGUGCGCUUGCGGAUCAAUUCCUUAUUGCGUUCCCAAAUAUCAACAAGCAUUUCUGGCGCCGUUGCCGGGGAGAAAGACGGUUGCUGAGAUAACUUGAGUCUUGCUACUAGCUUGUAUCUAUACUUUUAUCUUUUCUUAUCUUUUAUAUUCUUUAUUUUCUUUACUCUUACCUUAUCGAAAACCAAAAUUCUAAAUCGAUCCAUGAAUCUGCAAUCCCUUUAGCAACUGACCUUCUACCAUGGGAGUCAUCACAGCCUAUCCAAACAUCCCAGUAUAAGUUAAGUUCUAGGUUGAUUGCCAUGAUUCAAAACCUAUCUUUUUCGGGAAAAGAAGACGAAAACCCUUACCUUCAUAUUAGAGAUUUUGAGCAAACAUGUGAUUGUCUUCGCAUUGAAGGCAUUUCUGAUAAAACUUUACGUUGGAAGCUUUUUCAUUUUUUCCUUAAUGGGAGAAGCUAGACAAUGGUACAGUCAGAAGGUAAGUCAACAACAAGGUGAAUGGGGAGUUUUACGAGCCAACUUUUGUCUAGAUUUCUAUUCCCUUGACCGUAUAGCCGACCUUAGACUCGAAGUCCUAUCUUUUAAACAAAAAGAUAAUGAAACUUUGGGGAAAUCCUGGAAACGUUUUUCGGAUCUUUUAGAAUCUGGUCCAAACCUUAAUCUUGAAGACCCUGUUCUUUUAUUCCAUUUUUUUCAAGGUCUUCAUAAAAAUCACAAACAAAUGCUUCACACAAUGUCUAGAGGUUCUUUCUUUCGCAUCCCUGCUGAUGAAGCUAGAGUGAUCCUAGAUAGAAUCCUAGAAGCUAAGAUGGAUAAUACCCUUCAUGAUGAAACCUAUGAAGCUGAAGUAGACACUCUGCCAAAUUCUUCAUCUGCUUUAGAUAUCCCAAGUUCUGAGCCACAAGAGGAAGAAAUUCCACUACCGGACUUCAUGCUGGAUAUAGAAUCCGAUCUUUUUGCCAAUUUUGGAAAUAUUUCAAACUACCAUUCUAUUGACAAACCCCAAAAUGGCCAAUUUAGCAUUUAUUUGCCAAGUGAAUAUCAAUUGAGAGAGCUUAUCUCAGUAAUGAGUAGCGAAUGCUUGGAGGAAUCAGAGCUUUCCUCUGAUGUGAUCCGUUUGGACACACCCUCUAUAACUAUACGCUGUGCUUAUAAUUCUGAUUGAUUUAAUGCUCUUUAUAAUCCUGUUGUGGGGAUCAACAUUAUGUCUAAAUCCUUUGCACUUAAACUAUUUAAAAAUCUUGUCUUAACCCCCACAACAAAGGUCAUAAAGGAAUCUUCGGGACGAUUAGUCCCCAGUCUUGGAAUUAUUAAUGUCCUACCUCUUACGGUAGAAGGCUCCAUGGUUCAUUUGAACUUCUAUAUCUUUGAUACAUGGGACUUCGACCUGUUAAUAGGACAACCUUUUAGAAGACUCCUUUAUGAAGGUCAUACUGGAAAGCUACACAUUUCUUUUGGAAAAACUUUUAAAUUCCCAAUAAUAAUUUCGCACUCCUUAAACAAUAAGGCCGAGUCAUAUCUUUUGCCUGAUCCUAUAGAGGAAGUAAAGGCUGCACCUCUAGAGCUUUUAGAUGAACCAGACUUAGAAGACGAAGCUCCUUUCUUCACAGAAGAAGAAGACGAACCUUCUGAGCCUGAACCCUUAGAUGAGUUUGCAGAAACACCUAGACCCCCCAUAGAGCUUAAAACUUUACCACCUGGUCUUACCUAUGCUUUCCUAAACAAUAAUCUAGAGUUCCCUGUAAUCAUUAGCGAUAAACUCACUCAGGAUCAAACUCUGCGAUUAAUGACCAUUCUUGAGAAACAUCACUCAGUUUUCGGCUACUCACUUCAAGAUCUUACAGGAAUCAGUCCUAUGAUUUGUGCCCAUCGUAUUCCAAUAGAUCCUUCUCUUACACCCUCUCGAGAACCCCAACGUAGACUUAACAACACUAUGAGAGAGGUAGUUAAAAAGGAAGUUAUAAAGCUGCUGCAUGCAGGGAUUAUAUAUCCUGUGCCGCACAGUGAGUGGGUGAGCCCAGUGCAAGUUGUGCCCAAAAAGGGAGGCAUGACUGUUAUUAUGAAUGAAAAGAACGAGCUAAUUCUGCAACGCACUGUCACAGGAUGGCGGAUGUGCAUAGACUAUAGAAAACUAAACAAAGCCACGAGAAAGGAUCACUUUCCUUUACCUUUUAUAGAUGAAAUGCUAGAGCGAUUAGCGAACCAUUUGUUCUUUUGUUUCUUAGAUGGAUAUUCAGGGUAUCAUCAGAUCCCGAUCCAUCCCGAUGAUCAAAGCAAAACCACUUUUACAUGCCCUUAUGGAACUUAUGCUUAUCGUAGAAUGUCUUUUGGGUUAUGUAAUGCACCAGCUUCUUUUCAAAGAUGCAUGAUGUCUAUAUUUUCUGAUAUGAUUGAAGAGAUUAUGGAAGUUUCAUGGAUGAUUUCUUUGUUUAUGGAAAAACUUUUGAUAGUUGUCUUGAAAACUUAGAUAAGGUUUUGCAAAGUUGUGAAGAAAAGCACUUAAUCCUUAAUUGGGAAAAAUGUCAUUUUAUGGUUAGGGAAGGAAUAGUGCUGGGACACUUAGUGUCUGAAAGAGGUAUUGAGGUAGACAAAGCUAAAAUUGAAGUAAUUGAACAACUACCUCCACCUGUGAAUAUAAAAGGAAUUCGAAGCUUUCUUGGCCAUGCUGGUUUUUAUCGUAGAUUCAUAAAAGAUUUUUCAUUUAUUGCUAGACCACUUACUCUUUUGCUAGCCAAGGAUGCUCCUUUCGAAUUUGAUGAUGCAUGUCUAACAUCUUUCAAUUUAUUAAAGAAAGCACUCAUCUCUGCACCAAUCAUUCAACCCCCUGAUUGGUCGUUGCCUUUUGAAAUUAUGUGUGAUGCUAGUGAUUACGCUGUGGGGGCAGUAUUGGGACAAACUAAAGAUAAGAAGCAUCAUGCAAUUGCUUAUGCCAGUAAAACUUUGACAGGAGCUCAACUUAACUAUGCAACCACUGAAAAAGAGCUUCUGGCUGUUGUCUUUGCCAUUGAUAAAUUUAGAUCUUAUUUAGUUGGAGCUAAAAUAAUUGUUUACACUGAUCAUGCUGCACUAAAAUAUUUGCUCACUAAAAAAGAUGCUAAACCUCGCCUGAUUAGAUGGAUCUUAUUACUCCAAGAAUUUGACUUAGAAAUAAAAUAUAAAAAGGGAGUAGAAAAUUCUGUUGCUGAUCACUUGUCUAGAAUGUAUUUUAAGAGUCCACAGGAAACCCCCAUCAAUGAUUCACUCCGGGACGACAUGCUCUACGGGAUUAACAGGUCUGACCCCUGGUAUGCAGAUAUUGUUAAUUUUAUGGUUUCAGGGUAUGUACCACCAGGAGCAAACAAGAAGAAGCUUAUUCAAGAAAGUCGUUCACAUAUAUGGGAUGAGCCAUACCUCUUCCGAGUGUGCUCUGAUGGCUUACUCAGGAGAUGUGUGACCACUGAGGAAGGAUGGAAGAUCAUCGACAGAUGUCAUUCGUCACCAUAUGGAGGUCACUAUGGAGCAUUCCGUACACAUUCAAAGAUCUGGCAGUGUGGAUUCUACUGGCCUACAUUGUAUGACGACAUGAGGCAAUAUAUCAGAAGAUGUGGGCCAUGUCAAAGGCACGGAAACAUAAAUACAAGGGAUGCAAUGCCACUCACCAACAACCUUCAGAUUGAGCUCUUUGAUGUCUGGGGAAUAGACUACAUGGGUCCAUUUCCUCCAUCAAAGAAGUGCGAGUAUAUCUUGGUGGCGGUUGACUAUGUCUCCAAGUGGGUAGAGGCAUUACCUUGCAAGCAUGCCGACAACGUCAGUUCAAAGAGGAUGUUCGAAGAAAUUAUAUUUCCAAGAUUUGGAGUCCCCAGAGUAGUGAUAAGUGAUGGAGGAGCACAAUUCAUCGACAAACGCUUCAAGCAAUAUCUAUCAAGACAUGGAAUCCGUCAUAACGUCGCUACCCCUUAUCAUCCUCAGACAAGUGGCCAAGCAGAGACUUCCAACAAACAAAUCAAGAAUAUUCAUCAGAAGACAGUAAAUGAAAUGGGAACGGCGUGGAAAGACAAGUUACCUGAUGCACUCUGGGCAUACCGGACAGCAUACAAGACCCCAAUUGGAAUGUCUCCAUACCAAUUGGUGUACGGGAAGACUUGCCAUCUACUUGUUGAACUAGAGUUCAAAGCACACUGGGCCAUAAAGAGAUGGAAUAUGGACCUAGAUGUUGCUAGAGAUUAUAGAAGAAUGCAACUAUCAGAAUUGGAAGAAUGGCAAGAGAAGGCAUAUCACAAUUCAAAGAUCUAUAAAGAAAGAGUCAAAAGGUGGCAUGACAAGAGAAUCAAGAAGAAGGAGUUCACACCCGGAGAUAAGGUAUUACUUUUUAAUUCCAGGGUGAAGCUUUUCGGGCAUGGAAAACUCCGGAGCAAAUGGGAAGGACCAUUCAAGGUAAUCAAUUCAUCAUCCCACGGAGCUAUCACACUUCAAAAUAGCGAAGGCACGUUAUUCAAGGUAAAUGGUCAACGUCUUAAAUUAUUUUUAGAGCCCAAUGAGGAAUUUGAAGAAAUAGACGUAGUCCAUUUUUACCUUGCCAUGGAGAAUUAGAGCCCAACACUUUUGGUCUGAUGGUUUUGGGUCAUAUAUAUAUUUUUCUAAAUAAUUCCACUUCUAGAAACACGCUCGGAGAAGAGGGCCCACAGAGGGGCCAGAGAGAGGGCGGGCGCCCAGAUCAAGUGGGCGGGCGCCCAGCCCCUGUUCCCCCUCGGUCCCGACUUUCUCUGUUAUGGAAAAUGCACUUAGGGUGAUCCGAAUAAUCCCUCGGAUGGAAAGUUUCGCACGCACGUCGACGGGAGCAACCCGAACAACCCAUAGAGGCACCCUUUUGACCCCUAUAUAAACAGACCCCUGACCUCAGUUUUCAAACACCAAGCUACCAAGCUUUCUCUCCUUCAAUUAGAGCUUGAUUAGCUCUCCUUCAAUUAGAGCUUGAUUUGCUCUACUUCAAUUAAAGUUUUAUUAGUUCCUUGCUGCUCCAAUGGCCGAGAAGUACCAUGAUGAUUGGGAAGUCGUCCCCUUCAACCUCAACAUGGAGCCUGUGGAAGACCCCGAUGCCCGUGCUCUAGUCCCGGCCAACACAGAGCGACAGCUAGAAGCCAUGCCAUUACGCCAACGUAGCUCCGCCCAAUCUUACCAUGCUCAACCAGUUCUCACUGCACCACCACAACCCCUACUCCUCAAAGGAUCAUCAUCCAAGACAAAGACCAUUAUCAAGGUGCCAAUCGGCACAAGGAUCCUUCCACCUAGACCCAAUGAGAGGGUCGUUGGAGUCAAGACCAACCGGAGCGGCGAGAUCAGCAGCGUACGCUACACUACGGAGGAGGAAAGGCCUUACUUCGAAGGGAUUAGAGCAUCCAAAGUCCGUUUCAUCCCUCCAAAGGCAGCCCCAAAGCACUCUCUCAAUGCUUUUGAGACACCUCCCAAGCGUUGCAAGACUAUAAUGGAUAUUGAUGAGGAAGUUCGCAGGCUAAAUAGAGUUAUCAUAGACCUCCAGUCCUCGAUUAAUUCCCUCACUAGGCAGCUCUCUAACCACAACACCAUUAUACUAGGCCUUAGGCAGGAUCUUGCCAGUGCCAACAUGAAGAUCAAGGAAUUAGAGCGACGCUAAGUUAUCUAGAUUAGACCUUGAGGCAAUACAUCUUAGUUAUCUAUCUUUAAAAUCAGUUUAGGUUUACUAUUAUUAUCAGUCUGCUAUCAGUUUGCUAUCAGUUUGCUACUAGUCUUUUGUAAUAAAUGCCUCAAGAUUAAUAAAGAGUAUUACUAUUAUUAUGUCUUGUGUGUCUCUACUUUAUUUUUUGUGCAAGAAAGCAGAAAACAAGUAUGGGGGAGAUCCCUCUGUAACACCCUAGUGUUAUGGUUGCAUUAAUCAUGUGCAUAGCAUAAGCAUCAUUAUCUAAUCAAAGCAUUCAUGAUCAUCAUCUCUCUUGAGCCAUGUCAUUCUAUGCAAAAUUGUGUUUUAAAUUGCUUAAAUAGGCUUCCUAUGCUUAUGUUUGAGUGAACAAUGCUUGUGUUUGUGCUUAAUGCCUUGGUAAUUAGUUUAUCUAUGGUUAAUUUAACCUUGGGAACAAUGUUCAUGUUGAUCACUCCUCCAAAAUAUGCCUUGAAGUCAUGUUUGUGCAAAUAGGCCCUAGAAACCUCUUUUUCUUAGGCUUUUAAAAAGUGUUUCAUAAAAUGUCUUCAUGUCAAAACUUCCUACAGCAAAGUUGUAGCAACUUUUAUAAGGAACAAAAGUUGUUUUAUGGCCAUCUCAUGAAAAUGAUCACAAAUAGCUCAAAAGUGGCCCACAAGGCAGAUUUGGGGCUGUUUCCAACACUUAGAAAAUUUUCUAAGUCUUGGAACGAAACCAGUUUGCUCGAUCGAUUUUAAAAAUUCUAUAUCUCUUAAUCCCGGCUGAUCUGGCCUUUGCUCUAGUUGACAAAGUUGUGGAACUCGAUUGGAACUCCAACUUUGUCAACUGCAUCAUCUUCUAACUCGGUCUGGUUUAGGAGAUAUUCAUCGGUGAAGUUGCUCUGUCACGCUGUCGUCGUUUCUUCUGAAUCGAAGCCGAGCUCGCCGUCGUGGAUGGCCAGAGCGCCAUCUGUCUGCCAGAUGUCAUCCGUACGCCAGCGAUGGCCCCGCUCGUCAGCUUCCGUCGCGUGCAUGACCUCCAUGGCGUCGCCCGCGCAGAGUGGACGCGUCCACUUUGCUCUCCCUCGCCCUGCUCGCCGGAAACGCGGCCGCCGAGAGCUCUCCUCCGUGAGCUUACUCCGGCGAGCUCGCGCGCGUUCCCUGCUGUGCCAUUGCUCACCAAACUUCACCCAAAGCUCCGCCGUGAACCGCUCUCCAAUCUCCACCCCCUAACUCCCCGAGAAACCCACCGGUGAGCCGACAUUUCCUUCUUCCCCCAAAUCGGGUCGCCGUGACCGUUUUCUCCGGUGAACUCAAUGCCGAGCCCUGUGAAGCCUCUCGUCAUCUCUGGUUAGGUCCUAGAGGUAGCUUAGGUUCUUAGCAAGCUUUUGCGUCGCUUGGUGGACGCUCUACCAAGCUCUCCGUCGCCAGACACGGUGCGCAGCGCCGCCGUGCUUCCACCGGAGAUGGGUGCUCUCGUGGCCAGCGUGUUCCACGAGGAUCCAGGCCAAGCUGUGUACCUAGGAAGCUUCGCCAUAGUCCGCUGGUGCUGUAGAAGGCCUUAGGUUGCGCUCUACCGGCCUGAGGGCUCCGGCGUAACGCCGAGCACCUCCGCCGAGCCGCCAUCGUCGACGGUGAGCCCCUUCCGGUGGCUCCGCCGUGGGGAAAAAGGGGUCAAUCGAGUCGCUAGGGUUUGGGGAUCACGUUGGUGCCCUUGGUUUGGCCGGAGACCUCGCCGUCGCGGAGAAAUCGCCGGCGAAAGUCGCCUCGGCCGCGAGGAAGAAGGACCUGACAGAUGGGGUCCACUGUCAGUGUCUCCUCUUUCCCUCCUUUUCUUUUAUUCAAAAUCCUGAUUUUUGGCUUUCUUGCAAAAAUCAUAUCUCCUGUUUCUGAGAUCCAAAAAUUGUGAAACCAAUUUUGUGGUAUUCCUUGAGAUGGCUAGUUUGUAAUAAAAAUAUAAAAUGAACCAUGUUUUCUGGGAAAAUAUUUACUAAGUAUUUAAUCUUGUUAUUCAUGGAUAAAUUCAUAUAUAUUGUUAUACUGUUUACUUUGCCAUGAAAAUUUUAUGGUAGUCUCUGUAUGGUAUUAGAGUGCGUUGGUAAAUAUUUCAUGAUUUUUAGUGUACUGCAGAUUUGAUAUAUAUUUUAUGAUUGAAAUGUGGCUUGUUUCUUUAAUUAAAUCAUAUAAAAUAAUUGGUGCUUAUGCUGGUGUUCUACUUUGGUAGUAAACAAGUUUAUUGUAUUCCUAAGACAUAAAUAAUCUGAAAUCUGUUGUUUGGCACCAUAUGAGUCAUGUUUCUGAAUUUAUGAAAUAAUUACCUUGGCACAUGUUAAAUACAUAUCUUUAAUUUAGUAUGUGUAAUUGCUCUGAAAUUUUUAUGGUGAUGCCCUGAUGUCUUACUUGUGCUCCUGUAAUUUUUGUAGAUUUUUCUGAGCACUUUGACUAGUAUCUCGUAAUUAUGCUCUUAUCUAGAAUUAAUUAAUAAAUGCCUUGUUAAGUAAAUGUUUGGGGGUUUCCAUCUGAUGUUCUGGUAACCUUGUAAUAUGUUAGUGCUCAUAAGCCAUGUGGUUGGCAUGGUUUAUGUUUUGGUCAUGUCAUUAAAUAAUUACUUAAAGGGUUAAAGGCUGUUCUGGACAGCAAGGAGAGGAUUUAAAUUUGCUUAAUGAUAACUUCACUUUCUGUGCAUCUUGUCUAAAUCAAAGUUGUUCUAAACUUAUUGAACUAGCUGUGGUUUAAAUUUGAGGUCAUUUGGUCGAGUAGUUUCAAAGUUAUGGUUGUUCCAAGUUGAGUUCCAGAAAUAGGGGUUCUCUGUUUUUCUGGGACAGCACCCGGAACUUUGUUUAAAAUGACCAGUUUAGUGUUUGAAUCUUGCUGUCAUGUUUAAAGAUGAGUUGUAGACAAUUUCAUAAGCUUUCCAGAAUGUCUUUAUUUGUGUUUGUUGGAUCUGUCUAUCAUUAGUUAUGAUUUAAUUACUGGGUAUACUUGUUUUGUGUUGCUUGCUGUUUUAGUAUCAUGAUAGGUUGUGAGCUAAGUUGACUUACUUACUUAUGUGAGCUAGUGUAACUUUUACUCCGUAAAUGAGUGUCCAGUGAGUUACUUGUGUUAUCAAGCAUUCAUCUUUAGCAUGUGCAUCUUCUUAUUAUUCGAGCAUGCAAUAGGUGCAUCGGACGCGACAGCCUCCUACGAGCUUCAGGCGAAUCCCGAAGGCCAGGAGGGCAGCCAAGAGGUGGAGGUCCAGCAAGCCGGACUCGAAGAGCCCAAAGAAGAAGUUGAGUGCCCGAAUCACGAGCCGGCAUCGUUCGUGAAAGGCAAGCCCCGGAGCAUUCUAAGUCUCCCUUUAUUUUCGAAAGUUUACUUAAUAUGUUAUAUCUAUUGCUGCAUUAACUAUAGGAGUUGUGAUGAAACCUUUGCUGCAUUCUACACUAUCCUUGUUCAGAUAAUUCAUCUUAUCCUGGUUGUAGAGUUAGGAUCGAGUAGCAGCUUAGCCAUGCUUUAAUCGGUAGAAGUCGGGUGAUAUCCUAUCACCUGCGCGAUAUAGGGUUAUGUCGGAUCACGAUGGUCUAUAUGUGCUAUCGUGGAUGGAACCUGAUUAAAUUGACUUAAGCCGGGCGGAGUUUUGCAAGUGUGUAGUUACUCCGUCUGUGGCAGCUAAGGACCGAUCGUUGUACGUCCUCUUGUCAUGUUGAACGCAUGCCUAACACUUAGUUGGCCGGAUAACUCGUUCCGACCGUGAAGCUGAGUAGUAUGACUCAGGCCGGAAGACCGGCAAGUAUAAAGUGCGCACUACCGGAGGAAGUGCGGUGUGCGGGGGACCAUUGGCGUAAGUCCAAAGGCAGGUGAGUUAAAAUUCCUGACCUCCCUGGCAGAGUGGUAGCCCUGGGAGUGCGGCACUGAUCGGAGCCGCGAUUCCUGAGUUGUACCAAAGGUGACCCGUUGGCUCUCCGUUAGGGGAUGCUUGGGUGAGUGCUAGGAAUAACCCUCCAGCUGGAUAGGAAUUCGAUUCGAAUCGCCGUCUCUCCCGGUUAGUGAGAACUUGACAGAGCAGCGGCAAACGUAGCAUUCACUAAUGAAGUUGGUUCAUGAUAAUGAUGAUAGCAAGAAGAACAUAUGAUGAAUUUGAUAUGGUUAUUAUUGUUUGUAAUAAUCAAGUGAUGUGUUGUAGUACAGGUGCUAAUCUAGUAGUAGGCUGGUGAUAAAUAAAGAUGAUGCUCUCAAAAUAAUUUAGUUGUAACUUAAGCUUUUGGCAAAAAGAGUGAGUCAACCAACUCCACUUGAUAUUUAGCCUUGCAUGAUCCUUGGUGUCUUUUAUAUUUUACUAGACGGGUAAGUCUAGCUAAGUACAUUCUCGUACUCAGGGUUUAUUCCCACUUGUUGCAGAUGACAUCUUUUAUGACGGAUUCUGCAAGACUUGUCUCCAUCCCGCCGGGGAUGAGGACUAACCGUUCGGCACGGUUCUCUAACAACUUCGUACCUGUUGCUUUUGGAAGGGUGGUGUAGACUCUGGCAGUAACCCGAACUUAUGAACAGAACUUUGGAGUGUGUGUGUAAUUAUUUUGCUUCCCCUACUUCAAACAAGUGUUGUAAUAACUUAAUACUCCGAUGUGGUGCCGCUUCGACGGCAAUGUAUGGUUAUGUAACAUUCGUUGUGUUUAUGUUGGACUAUUACGAUCUUGGUUUGUUACGAGUUGGUUUGAAGUCCUUCGUGAUUUCAAUUGACUACCGGGAUUAUAUGGGCUCAAGUUUGGAAACUUGAUUGCUGGUCGAUCGUUUCUGCACUUGAACUCUUAUAAUUUGGUCGGUUCUGUGACACCCUCGACAUACCAACCACACUCCGACUACACCACUCCACGAUUCAGGUACACACUCUGCACACUUUACUUUACACAUAUAUAUAUUUUGGAUUAUGCAGAAUAUUGUUUCCGACAUGAUAAAAUAAAAAGAUUAAAAUAUUUCUAAUCAUGAUUAAUCUCAAUCUGUGAUAUUUCCUGAAAACUUACAAUUAUUGAAAAUCAUUUUAAAAACCCUGUGUCACUUAAGUCAAUAUGGAAUAUGUGAUGGUAGAGUAUGAGUUUCUUAUUCUUGAUAUCAUUGUUGCUUGGAGAAUUUAUUUCAAAAUAAAAUUCUAGCUACCAUCCUCAGUGUUUUAUAUGCCUGAUAAAACUGAAAAUAUUAAUUAUGAUUAUAAAAGCUAUCUACUCUGUAUUGAGUUCGUUCAAAAUGAGUUAGACCCUUGUAGAGAGAUUUAUCAUGCUCCUAAGAUCAAGACAUUAUUUUAGAAAGAUUCACUCUUCCGAAGUAUUAUUGCAUUAGAGGCAUGGGCUAUGCAAAAAUAGAAAUAUUUUGAGGAAAUAAAAAGGAGCAAGUGCUCGAUAACCUCGCAGAAAAAAUGGACAAGUGUCCGGCAGAAGAAUUAGGGGUACCUCGGUAUCCACUUAAAAAAAAUGAUAGCCCAUGGUCCCUCUAAUAAGCAAUAUGCCAGCAAGAGUUGACAAAGUUUUUAAUUUCCAAAGUCUUUGAUCUAAGAGUAUGACAUUCCCCUCCUCGGAUCCCGUUUUGAUCAGGCAAUAAAUGCAAAGUAAGUAUGCUUGAGAAUUUUUGCAAAAAUAAAACAGCCUCAGUGAGAUAUACAAAAGAUAAUGAGUGAUCUGAGAGAACCUAUGAGGAUAAAAAGGUAUGCUAACUUUCUUUCAAAAAUAUACAAAAACUCCAAGUGACAGGAUUGAGAAGAAAGGAUCUUUACUCUUAACCAUAAACUUCCCUGACUAUGGUACACAGUGGAAUUUUUAACACCCUGCAAUUAUAAAGAGAAUAUUUUAAAAUGUUUUACCCCAGAUAUUGUUCUUAACCAUCCUUUUCUCGAGGACGAGUAAAAGCCUAAGUAUGGGGGUAUUUGUUGACGAUUCUUAAGUAUCAAUUUUAAUUAUCAAAUAAACAAGAGAAAGGACCAAUAUGCAACCAACACCUAGAAUUAGGGUUUGAUCUGACAGAAUUCCACGAGUUUUGUUGUUUAUCUGUUUCUGCAGGGGGUUAUCAGGAAAUAAGGAAGAAAGGCCCACAUGUCGGGAUUACAUAGAGAUAUCAACGCACCGCGCAAUUUUCCACC
rnacentral:lncRNA from 1 species